rnacentral:lncRNA from 1 species
AGGGUUCUUUGGGAUUGAUACAAUUGUCUCUGUUGGUCCACUACAUUUUGAGGUGGAAGCAGGGAACCUGUCACUUGGCCUGAAGAUUGUAGCCUUUGUUGCACAUCCUGUUGUAGCAGAUUAGGUUGUUGUAACUGCUGAUGGUGAGACUGAAGGGGCAUCAUCUGCUGCUGGGAUGGCUGAUUUUGUGACUGUUGUCCCUGAGAAGGAUACAAGCCAUGGCCAGCUUGGUGUGUUCGUUGCAGCGCAGCGGUUGGCUGUGAUAACAUGUGCACCGACUGCUGGUUAGUCUGGGAACUGAGCAACUGUUGUUGUGGUUGCUGCAGUCCUGCAACAUUGCUUUGAGUGCCCAGUGGUUGCUGAGUCGUAGCCUGAAGGCUGUUUUGUUGAGACAUAAAUUGCUGUUGGGCCGGUGGGUGUUGCUUCUGCUGCGGUCGCAUGUUCAUAACAUUAUUUUGCUGGUUCAGCAACCUUUGCUGAUGUUGCUGCUGCUGCAUAUCCCCAACAACAUGCUGCGCCAUCAUUUGAUUCUGCUGGAUGCCUGAGCCACUUGCAGCUUGUUGCCGCGUCAUUUGUGCUUGCUGCUGGGGAGAAAUAGACUGAUGCGGCAAUGAAGUUUGUUGCUGAUGGAUCCCAGAGGCUUGUUGUGAUUGCGGAUGUUGCCUUAGCAGCGACGAUUGCUGCUGACGAAGAAUAGUCUGUGACGUAGUCUGCUGAGAAGAGAAUUGAGGACUUGACUGCUGAUUUGUGUGGAGACCCUGGAUGGGAGCUGAGUUCACAGCUGAAGGCUGCGUUGCAGAUGUCGUACUACCAGGCUGUUGAGACGAAUGCAUUUGAUUGGGCUGCAAUACAUUUUGUUGCUGUUGUUGUAUGGGAUUGGGAACAUUCCCUGACUGAAAAUUCUGCCUGAGAAGUUGCUGCUGAUAAAGAUAUUGUCCACCCUGUGGCUGCUGCUGCUGCUGAGAAGACAUAAUAUGCGGCCUGCCCAACAUCUGCCUUUGGGAUCCUGAUAUCAUGUUGGAUGAAAGGCCAUGCUGCCCAGAUGAAUCUUGCAACACUCCGGCAACAUUUUGCAUACUGGAAUUCUGGUUUACAACGCUUGUGACGUUAUUAUUGGCUAUGGAAGAAACAGGCUGCAUGGAAGAUGGUAAACCAGUAGAACCCGCCAUUCCAGAGGCUGUAUUACUCUGCAUGGUUUGGGACAUCAACGGCUGAGGUGCUUGAGAUUGAUUGUUUGGAAGAAGUUGCCCUUGAUUGUUGGGUACUAGCAAAGUUAAACAGCACCAAAUUAAAGAAACAGUCAUCCAAAAGAGCCAGAUAAGAAGAGUUAAGCAAUACAUGGUUGAGAAUCAUGAUUACUUGAAUCCAUUGAUGUGGUAUUAUUAGCAUCAGUGGUAGUUGAGGAAGAGCCAGCAGCAUUUUGAGAUUUAGUCUCCAUAGUCAGCAUCUUCAUGGAUAUCUUCCGAAGGUAAUCAGUCUGAAAAUUCAAUAAAAAAAAUCAGGGAGGUAUAUAUAGCUUUACGGCUACCAAAGUCUGUUAUUUUCCAGCUUGUUAAAAAAAGUGGAUGUUCAGUACCUGGUUAACAGCACCGCUGAAAGUUUUCUCCUCAAAUCUGGCAGCAAUUCUCCUGAGAUCGUUAAUUCCUUCUGGUCCAGAACUCGGAAGGUGCCUGCUUAGUGUUUCCAUUCUGCGCAUAGAGUAAGAAAAACAGAAGUAAGGGUCAAAAAAGUGUAACACCAUGUAUUUCUGAUGAAACAUUUUGGAGACAUAACAUUACAACAACACCAGUUAAUAUUAAUAUUAAAUAAACUUACAUCUUGUUAACGAUCUUCUGGCGUGAAUCAGGUGGCAACUGUUUUCUCCACUCACCAUUGUUAAUGGCUGCAGAUUCUCCAUUUGGAAUGGAAAGUCUCCAGUUGUUGUUAUCCAUCAAGUGUUCCUACGUUCGCAAACCAUGAUAACCAAAACAUGAUGCUCAUAUCCCAAAAAAAAAAACUACAAGAAACAAACGACCACACAGAAGAUGGAUUAUUAUUAUUCACACUCAUAAUUUCUCAAUAUAUGUCGCUUUCCUUUUUUUUCAUUUGUGCCAAAUAAUCAGACCAGACAGGAUAAUAAUAAUAGAAAGUUUGAGACAUCAGAAAUUAAAUAAGGAAUCACCAACCCUGAAGAAAAUCAAAACAAGUUGUGUUCACUGAUCAGCCAAAAUUUUCAUUUUUUUUAAUUACCAGCUUUGUCUCCUGUCCGUAGCAGAAAGUCACAUACAGUACAGCUUGCCGAGACUCCGACCACAAGAUAAAACUCGAAAGCAACAGAUGGAAACCAAAAAAAAAAAAAAAAAAACGAGAUUCGAAAAUUUCACCUACAAUUUUUAAAGUGUGUCGAGGCGAUUUCGCGGUUGCUACAAACGAUUAGAGUCUGCCUUUAGGAAAAAAAAAAGGAGUUAAAUUAGGGUUUAGGUUGAUCGAGAAAUGAAAUUGAAGAAUAUAUAAAAGAAUGUUUCUGGGCAAACGCAGAGGAAGGAAACUUCAUGCGUCUUAAGCUGACAACUGUGUCCCCUCAACUUCGCUUAUAAGUUAUGACCAAAGUUUUCAAUGUCGUCGCGCUGCUUUUUAAAUUACCACUAACCCCCUCCAAUUAAACAUAAAUUACAAGGUCCACUGUGUAUAAUAAAUAUGUUGAGAAAGUUCCCUACGACGACGUUUCAAUAUCGGUACGAGCUGUUAGCGCGUAGCCGCGUAUCAACCAAUUACCAAGAACGAAAUAAUUUGAAUAUUUUAGAGUUAACAUAAACCGUUUCCUUUAGCUUUGCAAGUUUUUAGAAUCUAAUUCUCUGAGUAGAUACUGAUUUCGGUGAUCACUAGCAGAGUUUAAUGUACUUAUGUACAUAAUAAACAAAGUAAUGGACUUCUCAUCUUUUUCAUUCGAUCGACUAGAAAAACAUGCGACUAUAAAAAGUCAAUGAGCAAGCAACACACACAGGAAGUCUUAAAGAUUUUGCAAGAAAGACCACAACUCAAAGUUUCAGUAAAAUACAGACAACUUUUAGAGGGAGAUGAAAUCAACUUUGUAGACUUAAAAGAACAACUUUCUAGACAGACCAAAAUUCACAGAGAAGAGCCACAAAAGGGGCAGAAACGGAACUCAGGCUCCACGACUCGAUCGCAGAAACGGCACGUAGCUAGAGAUAUCGGCGGAGGGAAAAACAGAUCGCAGUCUCUACAAUGGAGUACUUGAUCUUUCCCGGGCCAUCUCCAGACAGGAACAAAGAACAGCUUCAAGACUUUGUCGUAAUCCACCAAAUCGGCCUCCGAGCCACAUCUUAUGCACUUUCCGGCGCCGGAUUUGAGCACCUGCCUCACCUGUUGCCCUAAUCCACCAGCGAAGAAAAAGAACAUCCUCUGUUUUCAGAAUUACCUGAGAUCUCCUUUUUUUUUUUAAGCUCUUCAGACACUUGUGCAGGGUUCACAAGAAAAACUUGUUAAGAUUUCAGAUUAAGGGGAAGAUAUAAUUUAGUCUAUCUUCUAGUUGUUUCUAGCAGAGGUAAGAUAAGAACAUAACUUUUGAUUUUGCCAUGUUCUAGGUGUUUCCAGCCCUUGUAAGAAACAUAGUCUUGGUUUCCGAUUUUUUUUUUUUUUUGUCUUUUUUGGUUUGGCCAACAUCCAAUAGAAUACAUGGAUGAUCAGCAGAUAAUUAAGUACCUGGUUAACAGCACCGCUGAAAUUAAAUUUUCUCCUCGAACCUGGCAGCAAUUCUCCUGAGCUCGUUAAUUCCUUCUGGUCCAGAGUGAGGAAGGUGCCUGCUUAGUGUUUCCAAGUAAAUAGAGUAAGAAAAACAGAAGUAAAGGUCAAAGAAGUGUAACACCCAUGUAUUUCUGAUGAAACACUUUGCAGAAGCUUAAUAACAACACCAGGUAAUAUUAAUAUUAAAUAAACUUACAUCUUGUUAGCGAUCUUCUGGCGUGAAUCAGGUGGCAAUUGAUUUCUCCACUCACCAUUGUUCAUGGCUGCAGAUUCUCCAUUUAGAAUGGAAGGUCUCCAAUUGUUGUUAUCCAUCAAGUGUUCCUAAGUUUACAAACCAUGAUAAGAAGAUAACCAAAACAUGAUGCGCAUAUCGCAAGGAAAAAAAAAACUACAAGAAGCAGACAACCACACAGAAGAUGAAUUAUUAUUAUUCACACUCAUAAUUUCUCAAUAUAUGUCGCUUUCCUUUUUUCCAUUUAUGCCAAAUAAUCAGACCAGCCAGGAUAAUAGUAAUAGCAAGUUUGAGACAUAGCUUGAGAAUCACAAUCUCUCGUUCCUAGGUGAAGAUGUUAUGCAGCUGAAUUCUAGGGUAUAUGAGCAUAUUCACUCAUCAGAGUAGCUACAUAGCAGGUUGAUCCUGAACCGGAAGUAGCAAAAUACCCAAACAUGUAUUGAAUUAGGAGAGAUUGGAUAUCCGAACCCGAACAGAUAAUAUCCAAACCCGAAUGAAUAUCCAAAAAUAACCGAACAUAAAUAUAUAUAUAUAUAUAUAUAUAACCUUAUAUUUUUAAUAUAAAUCGUUUAUUUUAUUUAAAAUAUUUAUAUUGAUGUUACACUACUUUAAAAUCAUAUAAUAUGCAUAUAAGUACAUAUAAAAUGAUAUGAUACUCUAUAGGUUUCUUGUGUAAAGCCAUAUUCUUUCUACAUUGAUCAAUAAAUUUCACAUUUCAUAAAAAAAAGGUUUGAUAGUCACUUUAAAUGCAUGUCAAGCUUUUUAUUUUAUGUAUUAACAAAAGUUACAUCCAUUUUUUUUUUAAAAAUGACCAAAUUAUUUAUUUUUGCAAUGUUAUCUCCAAAUCUAUUAAUCACUCAAUCUAUUAAAAAUAAAAAAAAAUCAGUUGAGUGAAAAUUAUAUUUUUAAAUACAAGAAACUUAAAACAAUGAAAAAAAUAAUUUUUUAUUUUAAAAUCUAAAUAUCCGAACCCAACCCGAAAUAACCGAAUCUGAUUUAAAAAUAUUCGAAGCCGAUCCAAAAUACAAAAAUACCCAAACGGGUUCUAUAUCCCUAUGCCAAAAUACCUAAAAAUCUGAAAUACCCGACCCGAACGACCAAUUAGAAUUAGUAAGAACGAAAUAAUUGAAUAUUAGAGUCAACAUAAACCUAUUUUAAUAAGUGAUAACUCUAAUAGUUUUUCCUUUCACCAAAAACAACAUAUGUUUUUUUUUUUUUUUCAAUUUGAAAUUCCACCUAACGAACAGAAACAAUGGUUACAACAGUGAUUUAGUGAUUUAAGUAAAACCCCAACGACUUAGGACUGUCUUUCUCCGAAACACACAGUCGAGUUACUUCGCAAGCUCGGACUCAAUUCUAACAAAUGACACACAGCCAGACCGCUUAUCAUAAUCUUGAAUCCGAUUUCUAUGAUCACCGGCUUGUCCCGGUUAAUCGGGACGGGAGAACAUAGUCUCCACUUUCUCCUCACCAAUGAACCGUUCCGACUUCUGCAUUUUAAUGGAUUUGUAAAUCUAAACUAAAUGUAGUGUUAUUGGUUCUAUUAUUUUAAAAUUCACAUUCAAAUCCAUAGUUAUUGGUUUUAUGAUUUUAAAAUAAAUUUUAGAAUCAUGUGUUAUUCAAUAAUAAAGAUUUGUGUAUGGAUUUAAUUUGCAACUGGAUUUGAUUGGAUUUGUAACUAUUGUUAAGAGUAAAAUACAAAGGAUCAAAUAUUGGGUUUAACCUUGUUAUUUUGGCUGGAUUUGUUUUAUAUUGUUUUUUUUUCAUUCUUUAUACUUUUGUGUCCCAACACACAUCAGUUGAUGCAUUACUUCAAAUUUUAUACAUUGUUUUUUGCUCAUGUUAAAAACAUGCACUAAGCACAUGUCCAUACAAACAUAUUGUAUAAUGCAUACGAUAAUAAAAAGAGAUGCAACGAGAGAUGUAUUCCAUAUGAACGUAUCCCCACAAAUUGUGUGCGACCAGCUUUUGCUGCUUAGCAAAAUGAAAAAGAGGCAAGAAAGAUGAUGAAUGGUGGAGAAGAUAAAGUCGUCGAUAAGUUCCGAGAAUACUCCGUUGAGAUUUCUGAAAAAAUGACAAGUAAAUCUGUUUUGUCAGAAAUUUUUACUUUUGAUCCGAUCAAACUUCCGAUAACAUGGUGAAAAAAUAGUUUGAUCCGAAAUUUCUGAGGAGAUGCCAUGAAAAGUUUGUUCUGAAAAUCCAUGUUUUUGGAAGUUGCAGUCGGAGAACAUAAUGUUCUCUUGUAGUGUUUUAUUUAGGUCUAGUUACAAAUCCAUUGAUUUAUAACAAUUCAUUUAUUUGAUUUUAAAAUACUCAUAUCAAUAAUUCUCACUGGAUUUUUGGAAGAUUUCUAAAUAUAAGGAGAAUUUAUAAAUCCACUAAACUAACAGAACCAAUAACCCCCACUUAAUAAAUCCGACAAAAAUACACAUAACAAACAGAAUCUUGCAUUGCUACAGAUACUAGAAAAACGAGAAACCACUUCUUUAUAUACAAAUAUGUAAAUGCAGUUGCCUUCCCCCUUAUUUGGCUUUAGCUUCCCUCUUCCAUACUCUGCAUCUUCAAGGAUAUUUUGCAAAAGUAGUCCAUCUGAAACUCGAAACCAGCACACAACAUCAAGAAACAAAGGAGAGCAUGAUAUCGAGGAUGUAACUCACUGAGCUUAAUAAAAAAAAAUAGCGUAACCUGAUUUUUUGCGGUGUUGAAAAUCAACUCCUCGAAGCUGACAGCAAUUCUCAUGAGCUCUUCGAUUCCUUCUUCCCCAGAAUAUGGAAGAUUCUUCUUCAGUGUUUCCAAUCUGCCAAAUGGCAAAACUCACUUCUCUAUUUAUAAACAUAUGCAUGGCAAAAUGUUGUAAAACAUUCUACUUCGACAGAGUUUUAUCAUCAAAUUGGCUUUGGGGAAGCAAAAAAGGAGCAAGAGUUGAUAAAUAUGACAAAUUUGGAGGAGGAACAAACUCACAGCGUGUUGACAUUCUUUUGGCGUGAAGCUGGUGGAUGUAGAGUUCUCCAGUCAACUGUGUUUAUGGCAAGAUUACCUAUGUGGACAAAGCAAAGCAUUAACAUCAGGAUUCUAGCUCCAUUUAAAACCUUCAAGAGAAACGAAUCAAGUGGGAAAAUGGAUGCAACUGAUCUCCAACAUCCAUUUAUAAAACCAAGAAAAUGGAUUGCAUCUGCGGAUUUGCUUGACCAUCAUGAGAAUGAUUACCGUUCUGAGAUGACUGUUGCUUCACAGGCUGCAUCUGAGGUUGCGGAAGCUUCCCUUGCUGUACUAGCUUCCUCGGCCUGUGCAUAUUUAAGAAAUCUACAAUCUGCUUCUCAUAAUAAGCCACCCUAUCCCUUAAUGCAGGCACGAUAUUUCUCUUUGAAACCGACAGGAAUUGUAUCAUUCGCUCCACCAUUAUCUUGAAUUGUUUCAAUUUAUUAAACUGCUCUGAUCUUUGUUGCUGCGGAAGAGAAUCCAUCUGGGGAGAAAAAGAAUUGUGCUCAAUAAGAAAAGAGACAACCACAUCCGAUGUGUACUUUCUACUGGACAGUAAUUACACGAGUCUCAAGAGCAUCUUUUGGUGAAAUGGUUUUCAAGACACCAAAGUUGUACGCCUUUCUUUUGCAAUGUCGAACCAGUUUUGCAUUGAAUUCAUAGAGAUUCUCACUCAGAUACUCUACUGUUUCAGAGAACAUACACUCCAACUCUCCUAGAAAAAAAUAUCGCAACUUACUUGCUGCAACUUGGCUAUAACUCUCUGGUAGAUUUCGGUAACAUCUGGUAAGUACGCAUCUUUCAUAAUUUUGAUCUGCAAAGACAAAGCACCGUGGGAACACGAUUACUCAUUACGGGAGGCCGGAAGCAUUACUCAAAAUAGAAAGAAAAAACUACCUUUUGGUAAACCUCCUCUUGCCAAUCAACACCAUUUGCAUUUUCCGUCUGUGCCGUUGAGUCUACCGAUGCUAACAUUUAUAAAAAGUGGGUUUGCUCAGCAUCAGAUCUUGCCGAGGGAUUAUGUAAAGUAUCAGAAACUAAAGUAUUCACAAGGAUGUAGAAAAAGCAUACAUGAUGGCAUCUCCGGAAGGGUUCUUUGGGAUUGAUACAGUUGUCUCUGUUGGUCCACUACAUUUUGGGGUGGAAGCAGGGAACCUGUCACUUGGCCUGAAGAUUGUAGCCUUUGUUGCACAUCCUGUUGUAGCAGAUUGGGUUGUUGUAACUGCUGAUGAUGCGACUGAAGGGGCAUCAUCUGCUGCUGGGAUGGCUGAUUUUGUGACUGUUGUCCCUGAGAAGGAAAUAAGCCAUGGCCAGCCUGGUGUGUUCGUUGCAGUGCAGCGGUUGGCUGUGAUAACAUGUGCACCGACUGCUGGUUAGUCUGGGAACUGAGCAACUGUUGUUGUGGUUGCUGCAGUCCUGCAACAUUGCUUUGAAUGCCCAGUGGUUGCUGCUGAUGAAGGCUGUUUUGUUGAGAUAUGAAUUGCUGCUGGGCCGGUGGGUGUUGAUUCUGCUGCUGUUGCAUGUUCAUAGUAUUAUUUUGUUGGUUCAGUAACCUUUGCUGAUGUUGCUGCUGCAUAGCCCCAACAACAUGCUGCCCCAUCAUCUGCCUCUGUUGGAUGACAGAGCUAUUUGAAGCUUGUUGCCGCAUCAGUUGUGCUUGCUGCUGAGGAGAAAUAGACUGCUGCGGCAAUGAAGUUUGUUGCUGAUGGAUCACAGAGGCUUGUUGUGAUUGCGGAUGUUGCCUUAGCAGCGAUGAUUGAGCAGACACUUGAGGACUUGAUUGUUGAUUUGUGUGGAGACCUUGGAGGGGAGCUGAGCUCACAGCUGAGGGCUGCGUCGCAGAUGUCGUACUACCAGGAUGUAUCUGCGACGGCAAAACCGAAUUGGGAUUGGAAAAGUUCCCUGACCGAAAAUUCUGCCUGAGAAGUUGCUGCUGCUGAGAAGACAUAGUAUGCGGCCUGCGCAACAUCUGCCUAUGGGAUCCUGAAAGCAUGUUGGACGAAAGGCCAUGCUGCCCAGAUGAAUCUUGCAACACUCCGGCUACAUUUUGCAUAUUGGAAUUCUGAUUUACAACACUUGUGACAUUAUCAUUGCCUAUGGAAGAAACAGGCGGUAUGGAAGAUGGUAAACCAGUAGAGCCCGCCAUUCCAGAGGCUGUAUUACUCUGAAUGGUUUGGGACAUCAACGGCUGAGGUGCUUGAGAUUGAUUGUUCGGUAACGUUCCUGGAAGAAGUUGCCCUUGAUUGGCGGGUACUAUUCAAGAAAAAGUUAAACAGCACCAAAUUAAAGAAACAGUCAUCCAAAAGAGCCAGAUAAGAAGAGUUAAGUAACACAUGGUUGAGAAUCAUGAUUACUUGAAUCCAUUGAUGUGGUAUUAUUAGCAGCAGGGGUAGUUGCUGAAGAGCCAGCUGCAUUUUGAGAUUUAGUCUCCAUAGCCAGCAUCUUCAUGGAUAUCUUCCGAAGGUAAUCAGUCUGAAAGCCGAAAUAAAAGAAAAUCAGGGAGGUGUAAAUGGAUUUGAUACCCCAUAGCUUUACUAGUACCAAAACUCGUUCUUCAUCAGGCUGUUAAGAAAAACAUGAAUGUUCAGCAGCUGAUUAAGUACCUGGUUAACAGCACCGCUGAAAAUUUUCUCCUCGAACCUGGCAGCAAUUCUCAUGAGCUCAUUAAUUCCUUCUGGUCCAGAUUGAGGAAGGUGCCUGCUUAGUAUUUCCAUUCUGCGCAUAGAGUAAGAAAAACAGAAGUAAAGGUCAAAAAAGUGUAACAUUUUGGAGACAUAACAUUACAACAAAACCAGUUAAUAUUAAAUAUUAAAUAAACUUACAUCUUGUUAACGAUCUUCUGGCGUGAAUCAGGUGGCAACUGUUUUCUCCACUCACCAUUGUUAAUGGCUGCAGAUUCUCCAUUUGGAAUGGAAAGUCUCCAAUUGUUGUUAUCCAUCAAGUGUUCCUACGUAUACAAACCAUGAUAAGAAGAUAACCAAAACAUGAUGCGCAUAUCGCAAGGAAAAAAAAACUACAAGAAGCAGACAGAAGAUGGAUUAUUAUUAUUCACACUCAUAAUUUCUCAAUAUGCCAAAUAAUCAGACCAGCCAGGAUAAUAAUAAUAGCAAGUUUGAGACAUCAGAAAUUAAAUAAGAAAAUCAAAACAAGUUGUGUUCACUGAUCAGCCAAAUUGUUUUUUUUUUUUUUUUAUUACCAGCUUUGUCUCCUGUCCCUAGCAGAAAGCCACAUACGAAACGAAUAAACAUACUUUAUGACAUGACACAAGCAAAGUUAAUCAAUUCUCCUAAUUAGUAAGAACCGAGAAUCACAAUCUCUAGAGGGCGAUGGCUAUAUAGUAUAGCUUCCCGAGACUCCGAUUACAAGAUAAAACUCCAAAAGCAACAGAAUGACACCAAAACAAAAACGAGAUUCGAAAAUUUCACCUAAACUUUUCAAAGCGUGUCGAGGCGAUUUCGCGGUUGCUACAAACGAUUAGAGUCUGACUUUAGGAAAAAAAUAGAAGUUAAAUUAAGGUUUAGGUUAAUCGCGAAAUGAAAUUGAAGAAUAUAUAAAAGAAUGUUUCUGGGCAAACGCAGAGGAAGGAAACUUCAUGCGUCUUAAGCUGACAACUGUGUCCCCUCAACUUUGCUUACGAGAGCAUGUUUAACAGGGUUCUUGUGGGGUUUUCAGCUAUAAGAAUUCAUUUCUUAACUUUUUUUUCUUUUUUUUGUCUGACUUUUUUUUUUUCCUCGAUAAAUAUUUGAUUCACAGAAUUAAAAACCCACAAUACAACAUACAUAAGCCCAAGAAAAUGAAUUAAAAUACAACAAACAUCUGGAUCCAAGACCCAACUAUGAAAAUUCUAGGAGACAAACGAGGUUCCACCGCCAUACAGACAAACGCUGCAGUUUAGACGUCGCCCUCGCUUUGAAACACCACCGGAUAACCAACCAUCGAUUCAUUCGGAUCCACCAGAGCUCACUAACUUUAAACCAUCACCACCGCAAACGUCUUUAACUCAAGUGAACCCAAUAUGGGAGAGCAUCAAUCGACUGUUCGAGAUCUCAUCUGUCACCAUUCAUCACAAGCACCGAGAGAAAAGCUUCACGCGAACCAUCACCGUUAACAAUGGUCGAGCUUCGAUCGUCCUCCGACGAUAUCUCCACCAACCCUAACCAAACCAAAAGCGUAAAACUAAAAAAAAGGAGACAACCAAACCCUAAAACGGAAUUAGGGAACCAAAAAUCGGCAAAGCAAAGCAAGGAACGCCUUCACCCCCCAGGAUCUAGACCGACGACGGCAGAGCUGACGAAGCUUCCACCUCUCGGGGACAGGAACCGGCAUCGACGGAGCUGGAGGAGCCUCCACCUCCCAGAGACAAAACCAAGUAGCCGAACGAAGAACUUCACCGCGCCUUUCUCAAUACGACCGCGCCUUUACGCCAGAGACAGAUCCGCCAUGGGCGGCCUUGUUCCAGAGCUCAGGCAAAGCGGAAGAAAGAGGGGACAAGAGCAAAGCAAAAAUCGAAAGCUUUAAAGGUGGCUUGAGGGACUCUGGUGACGGCACGCACGCUCACGCGCCGGCCGGUUACCAGACCCGGUUAUAAAUCUACUUUCUCUUUCUACUUUCUCUCUCCGGGUACGUAAUUUAUUUCUUAACUUUUAAAUACCGAUUUUUAGUUAAAAUAUUAAUAGAGAGUUUUUAUAUUCCGUUAAAAAAUAACUCAAUUAAACAUGCUCUAAAUUAUGACCAAAGUUUUCAAUGUCGUUGAGCUGCUUUUUAAAUUACUAGAAACCCCUCCACUUAAACUGCAUUACUAGUUCACUUUGUAUAAAUAUUGUGUGUUGAAAGGUUCCUUAAGACGACGUUUAAUAUCGAUUCAUUCAUGUCGUUCAAAUUUUCAAAAGUAGCUGUUGUAGCGCGUAUCAACCAAUCAAUCAAAACGAAAUAAAUGAAUAUUAAGAGUUACAUAAACCUAUUUAUAAGUGAUAACUCUAUUUUCUUUUAUCAAAAUAAGUGAUAACUUAGUUUUUGUUUCCACCAGAAAAAGGAAGAGAGAUUCUUUUUCGUUUGCUACUGUUACUAAGAAACUAGAAAUCACACUUGACAUGUUUAGUCAUGGCUUCAUGCCUCUUGCAGGUUUCUUCUUUAUACACAAAUAUGUACAUGCACUUGCCUUCCCCCUUAUUUGGCUUUAGCUUUCCUCUUUCAUACUCUGCAUCUUCAAGGAUAUUUUGCAAAAGUAGUCCAUCUGAAACUCGAAAUCAACACACAACAUCAAGAACACAAAGGAGGGGAUGAUAUCAAAGGAAGUACACAUUGAGCUUAAUCAAAAAUAGUGAAACCUGAUUUUUCGCGGUGUUGAAAAUCAACUCCUCGAAGCUCACAGCAAUUCUCAUGAGCUCUUCGAUUCCUUCUUCCCCAGAAUAUGGAACAUGUUUCUUCAGUGUUUCCAAUCUGCUCAAAUGACAAAAGUAACUUAUAAACAUAUUCAUGGCAAAACGUUGAAAAACAUUCUACAUUUCAACAGAGUUUUAUCAUUAAACUGGCUUUGGGGGAGGGAAUAAGCAGCUAAGAGAGAAAAUAUGACAAAUUUGGAGGAUGAACAAACUCACAGCGUGUUGACAUUCUUCUGGCGUGAACCUGGUGGAUGUAGAGCUCUCCAGUCACCUCUGUUUAUGGCAAGAUUACCUAUGUGGACAAAGCAAAGCAUUAAGUUCAGAUUUCUAACUCCAUUCAAACCCUUCAAGAGAAACGAAUCAAGUGGGAAAAUGGAUGCAGCUGAGCUCCAACAUCCAUAUAUUACACCACGUAAAUGGACUGCAUCGACAGAUUUUCUUGACUAUCAUGAGAGUGAUUACCGUUCUGAGAUGACUGUUGCUUCACAGGCUGCAUCUGAGGUUGCGGAAGCUGCCCUUGCUGAACUGGCUUCCUCGGCAUGUGCAUAUUUACGAAACGUUUAAUCUGCCUCUCAUAAGAAGCCACCUUAUCCUUUAAUGCAGGUUUUAUAUUUCUCUUUGAAACGGAUAGGAAUUGUAUCAUUCGCUCCAACAUUGUCUUUAAUUGUUUCAAUCUAUUAAACUGCAGAGAUCUUUGUUGAUGCGGAAAAGAAUUCUGCUCGAGACAAAAAAAAGAAUGUUUUCAACAAGAAAGAGACGAGCACAUAGAUUGCAAGCUAAAGGAACAUAAAUAUCCGAUGUUUACUUUCUACUGGACAGUAAAAAUACGAGCAUCUUUUGGUGCAAUGGUUUUCAAGAUGCCAAAGUUGUAUGACUUUCUUUUGCAAUAUCGAACCGGUUUUGCAUUGAAUUCAUAGGAAUUCUCGCUCAGAUACUCUACUGUUUCGGAGGACAUACACUCUACUCUCCUAGAAAAAUAUAUAGCAACUUACUUGCUGCAACUUGGCUGCAACUCUCUGUUUGACUUCUUUUAGAUCUGAUAAGUACGUAUCUCUCAAAGUUUUGAUCUGCAAAGACAAGCACAAAGAUCACACGGUUACUCAUUACGAUGAUAUCAAAAUAAGAUCGCCUGCCGUGUUGCAUUUAUCUCUUAUAGAUUUAAUAAACGUAGACAGAAUAGGUAUAAAGAUAGCAAACUUAUUUUAUCUCCCCCAAACACUUAUGAGUACUGACGGCAAGGCCUGAAGCAUUACCCAAACUAGAAAGAAAAACUACCUUUUGGUAAACCUCCUCUUGCCAAUCAACAGAAUUUCCACUUUCCGUCUGUGCCAUGGAGUUUAACAAUGCUACAAUUUAUAAAAAUGGGGUUUGUUUAGCAUCAGAUCCAGCUGAGGGAUUAACUUAUGUAAAGUAUUCACAAGGAUGUAAACGCAUACACACAGGAUGGAAUCUCUGGAAGGGUUUGUCUCUGUUGGUCCACUACAUUUUGAGGUGGAAGCAGGGAACCUGUGAAUUGGCCUGAAGAUUGUAGCCUUUGUAGCAGAUUAGGUUGUUGUAACUGCUGAUGAUGCGACUGAAGGGGCAUCAUCAGCUGCUGCUGGGAUGGCUGAUUUUGUGACUGUUGGCCUUGAGAAGAAAACACAACAUGAGAUGAUUGUUGGGGAAGCUCCCCUUGCUGAACUGGAUUCCUCGGCCUUAGCAUAUUUACCAAAUCUAUAGUCUGCUUCUCAUAGAUAGCCACCUUAUCCCUUAAUGCAGGUAUGACAUCUCUCUUUGACACCGAUAGGAAUAGUAUCAUUCGCUCCACCGCUGCCUUGAACUGUUUCAAUUUCUCAAACUGCUCUGAUCUUCGUUGCCGCGGAAGAGAACCCAUCUGGGGAGAAAAAGGAAUGUGCUCAAUAGGAAAAGAGACAACCACAUAGAUUCAAGCUACAACCUUUGUCAGUUUGGGAAGGAAAAUAAAUAUCCGACAAUUACUUUCCACCGGACAGUAAAAAUACCAAAUUUGUGUGACUUUCUUUUGCAAUAUCGAAUUGGUCUUGCAUAGAAACUCUCGCAGGUACUACUGUUCUGGAGGACAUACACACUACUCUCUUAGAAAAAAAAACUUACUUGCUGCACCCUGGAUGCAGCUCUCUGAUAGAUUACGGCAAGAUCAGGUAAGUACGCUUCUUGUAUAGUUUUGAUCUGCAAAGACAAAGCACCAUGGACACACACGGAUUACUCAUUACAAUGAUAUUUAUGUAAGAUCGCCUGUCGUGUUGCAUAUAUAUACAGCAAACUUAGUUGACAGCAAGACUAAGAAGCCGGAAGCAAUACCCAAAUUAGAAAAAAAGAAAACUACCUUUUGGAAAACCUCCUCUUGCCAAUCAACCGCAUUUCCACUUUCCGUCUGUGCCGUGGAGUCUAGCGAUGUUACAAUUAAUAAAUAAAUAAAAGGUUUUGUUGAGCAUCAGAUCCUAAAGUAUUCACAAGGAUGUAAAGGCAUACAUGAUGGCAUCUCCUGGAGGGUUCUUUGGGAUUGAUACAGUUGUUGUCUCUGUUGGUCUCCGGAAGGCCUCCAAUUGUUGUUAUCCAUCUAAGUGUUCCCUACGGUUACAAAAAUCUACAGAAAACAAACGACCACACACAGAGAUGAAUUAUAUUGACAAGAAUCAGAGCAGCCAAAGGCUAAUUCUAACAAGUUUGAGACACGGAAUCACCAACCAACCCUAAUAGAGAAUCAAAACCAAAUUUUUCAUUUUUGUUUACUCUUGUUAACAAAAAAAAGCGACAGACUCAACCUCAAAGUAGCAUAUCGUAAAACGAGUAAGCAUACUGUGUCAAUCACACCAAAAAAAAAGAAGGUUAAAUCUAUUCUCCUAAAUAGUAUGAGAACCACAAUCUGUAAAGCGCGAUAGCGAAAUAAUAUGUCUUCUCGAGACUACUGAUCACAAUAGAAAACGAAAUUCUAAAAUUUCACCUCGAGGCGAUUUCACGGGUUGUUACAAAGGAGUAGGAUUGAUCGGGAUGAAGAAAGGAUGACCAAGUUUUCAAUGUCGUCGCGCGGCUUUUAAAUUACCAAAAACCCCUACAAUUAAUGAUCAAUUACUGUAUAAUCUUGCCAAGUGUCAACUACAAGUUCACUAAACCCCAAAUUUAAUUGACCCACCAAUAUAAAGACGGCGCUUAGUCUCAUCAUGUGCUUUAAUUUUUUCAAUUGAUGUUUGAUGUCGGAGAAACCAGAAAUCAUCCCAAUUCCCAAUGGCAUACACUCGACCAUGUAUGGUUUAUUCAUGCCUUUUCUUGUUUUUCUUUUUAAGAGCAUCUCCAAAAAGAAACUCUAUUUUGAAGUUUCCAAAACUCUAUAUUUGAAGUUUCAAUGUGUUCUUCUCCAAAAGUAAAACUUCAAACCUAACUUCAAAAUUAUUUAUAUUUUACACUAUGGUCCUUAUAUUUGUCAUAGUUGAUGUAAAUUCAUAAAAUUUCUAUAAAUAACUAGUACAUAUAUAUAAAUAUUACAGAAAUAUUAAUUAAAAAAAUCUUACACUAAACGAUAAAAUUAUAAAUAAAAGUACAUACUUAAAUAUUAAACUGCAAACAAAUAUUAUAUUAUUCCAUGAAAUUAUUUCUAUAAUGCUCCCAUAUAUGAUCAAUUAGUGCAUUUCGAAGUAAGAAAUGAUUCUCUUUAUUUUUUAUUUGUAGAUUACGAGCCAAAAAUUGUUGAAAUCGGAUAUCCUCAUAAUAUGGCUGCUGAUAGUUUGAUAUUAUCAAACGAAAAAAUCCUUGAUCUUUUAAACGAAAGUAUAACAAGCAAGGAAAAAGGUCAUGAGAUGAUUGAAUUAUGACUACAAAAUAAAGCAAAAAAGUUAGCUUUUAAAAAAGUAAAAGAGAAAAAUAAAAUAUUGCUAAAAAACUUAGCUUCUAUCAAUCAUGUUAAUAUUCGUGAAUACAUUCGAUCUAAACAAGAAAGAAUCAUACGAAAAAUGCGUCAAGAGCAACAACAACAAUCAUCUUUGGUUACACAAAAUUUGUUUGGACGAUAUUUUGUAGAUUUUUGAGGUUCCGGAGCAAAUUUACCAUACUAUUAGUGUUGUCAUAAUAUUUAAAUUUGAGUAAUAAUUAUGUCUUCAUGUGUCUUUUUAAUAAGUUUGUAUUAUGGUUUUUUGUAAUAUUCUUGUUGUUUAAUUCUAGUUUUAAAAUAUUAUAAAUCUUGUUUAAAAAUUUUUUAUUUAAUUUCAUGUGUAAAAAUUAAAUUUAUAAAACAAAUUUAAAAUAUUUAUGAGAUAUAAAUUUUUUAAAGAUUAAAACAAUAAACAAAAAAAUAUUUAAGAAUUAUAAAUAUGAUGUAUAAUUGUAAGGACCAAAAUGCAAAUAAAAAGAUGAAACUUCAAAUUUGAAGUUUUGAAAAGUGAAACUCUAUAUUUGGAGUUUCACUCUUCAAAACUUCAAAUUUGAAGUUUUGAAGUUCCUUUUUGGAGAGCAAAAAACUCUAUAUUUGGAGUUAUAGAGUUUCUUUUGGAGAUGCUCUAACUCUUCAAGGUGUGUUCUUUAUAUACAAAUAUAAAUUAUGGACUAGCUUUCCUUAGGAAGUUUUACGCCGUUUUGAAAACUCCUCUUGUUUGAUUUCGCUUCCCUCUUCCAUACUCUGCAUCCUUGAGGAUAUUUUGCUCAAGUAAUCCACAACAUCAAGAACGAAAUAAGGGGUGGAUGAUAUCAAGGAUAAAUGAACACAUUGAGGUUAAUAAAGAAAAAAAUAAAAAAGUGAAACCUGACUUGUCGCGGUGUUGAAAAUUAACUCCUCGAAGCUGACAGCAACUCUCAUGAGCUCUUCGAUUCCUUCUUUCCCAGAAUAUGGAAUAUGUUUCUUCAGUGUUUCCAAUCUACUCAAAUGACAAAAGUAACUUGUCUAUCUAGAACCAUAUUCAUAGUGUCAAAGCAAUACAACAAAACUUUGUGAAACAUUCUACUUCUACAGAAUUUUGAUCAUUAAAUUGACUUAUGAAUGACAAAAGAGUAGCAAGAGUGAGAAAAUAUGACAAAUUUGGAAGAGGAACAAAACUCACAAUGUGUUGACAUUCUUCUGGCGUGAACCUGGUGGAUGUUGAGUUCUCCAGUCACCUCUGUUUAUGCCAAUAUUACCUAUGUGGACAAAACAAAGCAUUAAGUUCAGAUUUCUAACUCCAUUCAAAAGAAACAAAUCAAGUGGGAAAAUGGAUGCAGCUGACCUACAACAUCGAUUUAUUAAUUACACCAAGAAAAUGGAUUGCAUCUACAGAUUUGCUUGACUAGAAUGAUUACCGUUCUGAGGUUGCGGAAGCUGCCCUUGCUGUACUGGCUUCCUCGGCCUGUGCCUAUUUAAGAAACUUAUAAUCUGCGUCUCAUAAAAAUCCACCUUAUCCUUUAAUGCAGGCAUGAUAUUGCUCUUUGAAAUCAAUAGGAAUCGUAUCAUUCGUUCCAACAUUAUCUUGAAUUGUUUCAAUUUCUCAAAGUCCUUUAAUCUUUGCUGCUGCGGUAGUGAAUACUGCUGGAGAGAAAGAAAAAAAAAUCUGUUCAAUAGGAAAAGAGACAAAGCACAUAGAUGCAUGCAAGCUAGAACCUUGGUGGGUAUGAGAAGGAACAUAACUAUCAGAUGUUUACAUACGAGCCUCAAGAGCAUAUUUUCGUGAAAUGGUUAACAAGAUACCAAAGUGUUUGCAUUAAAUUCAUAGAAAUUCUCCCAGCUACUAGUGUUUCGGAGGACAUACACACACUACUCUCUUAGAGAAAAAAAAUAUCGUAACGUACUUUCUCCAACUUGGCUGAAGCUCUCUGGUAGAUUUCGUGAAGUUCUGCUAAGUACUUUUCGUUUAUAGUUCUGAUCUGCAUAGACAAAGCACCAUGUUUUCACACGAUUAUUCAUUACAGUGAUACUCUUUGUCUUAUUGCAUCUAUCUCUUGACACUUUAAUAAGCGUAGACAGAAUUAGUACUAUAUAUAGCGAACUUAUUUUAUCUCCCAGAAUUCAGCAAGAGUAAGAGGACACUACAGAAGCAUUAACUAGAAAGAAACAACUAUCUUUUGGUAAACCUCCUCUUGCCAAUCAACACCAUUUGCACUUUCCAUCUGAUGCUCAGCAUCAGAUCCUGCUGAGGUGGGAUUAUGUAAAGUAUGAGAACCUAAAGUAUUCACAAGGAUGUAGAAAAAGCAUACAUGAUGGAAUCUCCGGAAGGGUUCUUUGGGAUUGAUAUAGUUGGUCCACUACAUUUUGAGGUGGAAGCAGAGAACCUGUGACUUGACCUGAAGAUUGUAGCCUCUGUUGCACAUCCUGUUGUAGCAGAUUAGGUUGUUGUUGCAAACCUAACUGCUGAUGAUGCGACUGUUGGCCCCGAAACAGAAACAAGCCAUGAGCAGCCUGAUGCAGCCCAACGGUUGGCUGUGAUAACAUGUGCACCGACUGCUGGUUAGUCUGGGAACUGAGCAACUGAUGUUGUGGUUGCUGCAGUCCUGCAACACUUCUUUGAGUGCCCAAUGGUUGCUGAUGAAGGCUGUUUUGUUGAGACAUCAAAUGCUGUGGCAACGGAUUUCUCCAGUCACCAGGUUCUCCUUUUGGAACGGAAGGUCUCCAAUUGUUGUUAUCCAUCACCUGUUCCUUACGACCACACACAAGACAAUCCGAUUUUAUGCCAAGAUUCAGAGCAGCUAGGCUAAUAAUGAUAGCAAGUUUGAGCCACGGAAUCACCAAUUCCAAAGAAAAUUAAAAUCAGUUGACUUCACUGAUCAGUCAAUUUUUUUCAUUUCUGUUUGCUAUUGGUAGCAAGAAAGAGACAGAGUCAACCUCAAAGUAGCAUAUCCGAGAAAACGAGUAAGCUCAAUCACACCAACAAAGUCAAAUCUAUUCUCCUAAAUAGUAUUAAGAACCGAGAACCACAAUCAAUAAAGCUUGAUGGGCUAUAUAGUAGUAUGUCUUCACGAGACUCCCGAUCCACAAGAUUUGAAAAUUUAACUUGUAUUAAACUUGUAUCAUUCGCUCCAACAUUGUCUUUAAUUGUUUCAAUCUAUUAAACUGCAGAGAUCUUUGUUGAUGCGGAAAAUAAUUCUGCUCGAGACAAAAAAAAGAAUGUUUUCAACAAGAAAGAGACGAGCACAUAGAUUGCAAGCUAAAGGAACAUAAAUAUCCGAUGUUUACUUUCUAGUGGACAGUAAAAAUACGAGCAUCUUUUGGUGCAAUGGUUUUCAAGAUGCCAAAGUUGUAUGACUUUCUUUUGCAAUAUCGAACCGGUCUUGCAUUGAAUUCAUAGGGAAUUCUCGCUCAGAUACUCUACUGAUUCGGAGGACAUACACUCUACUCUCCUAGAAAAAUAUAUCGCAACUUACUUGCUGCAACUUGGCUGCAACUCUCUGUUUGACUUCUUUUAGAUCUGAUAAGUACGUAUCUCUCAAAGUUUUGAUCUGCAAAGACAAGCACAAAGAUCACACGGUUACUCAUUACGAUGAUAACAAAAUAAGAUCACCUGCCGUGCUGCAUUUAUCUCUUUUAGAUUUAAUAAACGUAGACAGAAUAGGUAUAUAGAUAGCAAACUUAUUUAAUCUCCCCCAAACACUUAUGAGUACUGACGGCAAGACUAAGAGGCCUGAAGCAUUACCCAAACUAGUAAGAAAAACUACCUUUUGGUAAACCUCCUCUUGCCAAUCAACAGCAUUUCCACUUUCCGUCUGUGCCAUGGAGUUUAACAAUGCUACAAUUUAUAAAAAUGGGGUUUGUUCAGCAUCAGAUCCAGCUGAGGGAUUAACUUAUGUAAAGUAUUCACAAGGAUGUAAACGCAUACACACAGGAUGGAAUCUCUGGAAGGGUUUGUCUCUGUUGGUCCACUACAUUUUGAGGUGGAAGCAGGGAACCUGUGAAUUGGCCUGAAGAUUGUAGCCUUUGUAGCAGAUUAGGUUGUUGUAACUGCUGAUGAUGCGACUGAAGGGGCAUCAUCAGCUGCUGCUGGGAUGGCUGAUUUUGUGACUGUUGGCCUUGAGAAGAAAACACAACAUGAGAUGAUUGUUGGGGAAGCUCCCCUUGCUGAACUGGAUUCCUCGGCCUUAGCAUAUUUACCAAAUCUAUAGUCUGCUUCUCAUAGAUAGCCACCUUAUCCCUUAAUGCAGGUAUGACAUCUCUCUUUGACACCGAUAGGAAUAGUAUCAUUCGCUCCACCGCUGCCUUGAACUGUUUCAAUUUCUCAAACUGCUCUGAUCUUCGUUGCCGCGGAAGAGAACCCAUCUGGGGAGAAAAAAGGAAUGUGCUCAAUAGGAAAAGAGACAAGCACAUAGAUGCAAGCUACAACCUUUGUCAGUUUGGGAAGGAAAAUAAAUAUCCGACAAUUACUUUCCACCGGACAGUAAAAAUACCAAAUUUGUAUGACUUUCUUUUGCAAUAUCGAAUUGGUCUUGCAUAGAAACUCUCGCAGGUACUACUGUUCUGGAGGACAUACACACUACUCUCUUAGAAAAAAAACUUACUUGCUGCACCCUGGAUGCAGCUCUCUGAUAGAUUACGGCAAGAUCAGGUAAGUACGCUUCUUGUAUAGUUUUGAUCUGCAAAGACAAAGCACCAUGGACACACACGAUUACUCAUUACAAUGAUAUUUAUGUAAGAUCGCCUGUCGUGUUGCAUAUAUAUACAGCAAACUUAGUUGACAGCAAGACUAAGAAGCCGGAAGCAUUAUCCAAAUUAGAAAAAAAGAAAACUACCUUUUGGAAAACCUCCUCUUGCCAAUCAACCGCAUUUCCACUUUCCGUCUGUGCCGUGGAGUCUAGCGAUGUUACAAUUAAUUAAAAAAAAAAGGUUUUGUUGAGCAUCAGAUCCUAAAGUAUUCACAAGGAUGUAAAGGCAUACAUGAUGGAAUCUCCGGAAGGGUUCUUUGGGAUUGAUACAGUUGUUGUCUCUGUUGGUCUCCUGAAGGCCUCCAAUUGUUGUUAUCCAUCUAACUGUUCCCUACGGUUACAAAAAUCUACAGAAAACAAACGACCACACACAGAGAUGAAUUAUAUUGACAAGAAUCAGAGCAGCCAAAGGCUAAUCCUAACAAGUUUGAGACACGGAAUCACCAACCAACCCUAAUAGAGAAUCAAAACCAAAUUUUUCAUUUUUGUUUACUCUUGUUAACAAAAAGCGACAGACUCAAAACCUCAAAGUAGCAUAUCGUAAAACGAGUAAGCAUACUGUGUCAAUCAUACCAAAAAAAAAAGUUAAUCUAUUAUCCUAAAUAGUAUGAGAACCAAGAACCACAAUCUGUAAAGCGCGAUAGCUAGAUAAUAUGUCUUCUCGAGACUUCUAAUCACAAGAGAAAACGAGAUUCGAAAAUUUCACCUCGAGGCGACUUCACGGUUUGUUACAAAGGAGUAGGAUUGAUCGGGAUGAAGAAGUAAAGGAUGACCAAGUUUUCAAUGUCGUCGCGCAGCUUUUAAAUUACCAAAAAACCCCUACAAUUAAUGAUAAAUUACUGUAUAAUAUUGUCAAGUGUCAACUACAAGUUCACUAAACCCCAAAUUUAAUUGACCCGCCAAUAUAUUGUUUUCAUUCAUAAAAUUAUGCAAACUGAGAUACAUUGGAUGCGUUGAUGGAAUACAAAGCUGGCAUGUGCUUUAAAACUUUCAAUUGAUGUUUUGAUGUUGGAGAAACCAGAAAUCAUCCCAAUUCCCAAUGGCAUACACUCGACCAUGUAUGUUUAUUCAUGCCUUUUCUUGUUUUUUUUUUUUUAACUCUUCAAGGUGUGUUCUUUAUAUACAAAUAUAAAGUAUAUGUAUAUGGACUUGCUUUCCUUAGGAUGUUUUACGCCGUUUUGAAAACUCCUCUUGUUUGAUUUCGCUUCCCUCUUCCAUACUCUGCAUCCUUGAGGAUAUUUUGCUCAGGUAAUUGAUAGGCUCAAGAGGGUUUACUAUCGUAAGAAGAAGGGAAAAGAAGCAACAGAAGAAGGGUGUUGAUUAGUAAAGGAGCGUGAGCAAUAAGGAAGAAGUGGGAAACCUUCUAUUUCGAGUAGAGUGUUUGCAGUUACAACGGUUAGUUGAGCUGAGAGCUAGUAUAAAUAAGAGUCUGUAACUCGUAGAGAGGUAUGCUUUUUGUUGUAGUUUGUUAUGGACGUUAUGAGUCUGUACUUCUCAAUCGAGAUGAGAUUGAGGAUCUAGAGUGAAACUCGCCAUGAGAGUGUAGCUCGAGAUCACACAACAAAGCUAGCUAUCUUGUACUUCGUUAUUCAAUACAGAAGAGUAUUAUUCAGUUACAUAGAUCGAAAGUCUAUCACUGGUGCGGCGAAACUGGUCGAGAUCACGAGAUCAGAGCGCGAUGGUGGAGACGAGGAACGGCAGUGAUCGCGAGAAGGCGAUAGUUGCAGAACCAACGAAAACGAUGGAUCUCCAGCGGAUUCAAGACGAUAUGGAUUUGAUGAAGCUCCGUUACGAUACGAUGGCUCGAAGCGAUCGAUCGACGACGACGAGGCUAGAUUCGAUGACGACGAAGGUUGAUUCCGUGGAAAAGAAGAUUGAAGCGAUAGGCGUUGAAUCCACAGCAAGAUUCGAGACUUUGGAGAAGAAGAUGACUGAUAUCGCCAAUCUACUGACGCGAUUAGAAGAUACAGCAGUCUUCAACCAACGUCCGGGGAAAGAGAUUGCCUCUCCGUCGCAUACUCGCGUCGAUCAGGUACCGAUCACGAUCUCUGAACCGGGAACAUCUCCAACUCCGUUAGGUUAUCGGGGAAUACAAGGAACUCUUGCGAAUCGUGAUAAAUUGUUGAGGAAAAUUGAAAUGCCUGUAUUCUCUGGUCCAUUGCCGUUCGAUUGGAUUUCUCGAGUUGAGAGAUUUUUCAGGUACGGGAACUACAAUGAAGAGGAGAAGUUGUAUUUGGUAUCAUUGAGUUUAGAAGGUCCAGUGUUGCAGUGGUUUAAUGGUGAGAUUAUCAGUGAUCCGUUUGCGAAUUGGGGAGAGUUUACAAGGAGGAUGUUAGACAGAUUUGGGGGUCCAAUCGAUAAUGAUCCAGCGGCAAGGUUGUUCUGUUUACAGCAAGAAGGAGACAUUGUUGAUUACGUCAAUGAAUUUGAGGCUUUGAGGAAUCAAGUGACAGGGAUCGAUGAAAGGAACUUGAUUAAGGUGUUCUUCAACGGGUUGAAAUCAGAAAUGAAAGAGGUGAUCCGCAUGAAGGAACCAGUAACUUUGACAGAUCACAAACUGGCGGUAUUAAAGAUGCAGAGCACAGCUUUCUGUAAAGUGGUUAGUGUUGCGUCUGGGGGUGAAGGACAAAAAGGUUCUCAACGUCAUUUCAGCAAUGCUCGUUCUGGCAACUAUGUCAAUAAACCAUCAGGGGAGAAUGUGAAAAGCAUUACAGGAGAUAAGAAAGAGAACAUUCCUCCUCAACGUGCCAACACAAGACCAAGAUUACAAUUUUCGGAUGCGGAACUCGAUCGCAUGAGAAAGGACAAGGUCUGCUUUAGAUGUCAAGCACCUUGGACUCCAGCUCACAGGAUGGAGUGUCCGAAUCGCCAAUUACGAGUGUUAACGGUGAUCAAUGGAUUGGAGCUUGAGGUUAUUGACACAAAUGAAGAAGAAGAGCUACUACAUAAACAAGACCAACAAGUUCUCCAUACAUUGUCGCUUAAUUCGUAUUUGGGCAUUGAAUCCCCAAAGACAACUAAGAUGCGGGGAUACAUAUGCAAUCAAGAGGUGAUAGUCAUGCUCGAUAGCGGAGCAUCCCACAACUUCAUCUCACCCGAAGUUGUGGCCAAGCUGCGAUUGAAAGUUUCUGCAGAUAACAGCUUGAACGUGUUGUUGGGUAACGGGGUGACUGUGAACGCUGUGGGAACUUGCCAAGCAGUCACUUUCCAGUUAAACAAAACCAACUUCAUAAGUGACUUCAUCUCUCUAGAACUGGGAAACGUCGAUGUGAUACUCGGUAUUCAGUGGCUUGAAACCUUAGGCAAGUGCGAAGUGGACUGGAAGGAGCAGGUCCUUUCCUUUGUCUAUAACGGGAACAAGGUGACUUUGUUUGGGGAGAAGACCCUGCAUUGCACCAAGUUCUCCUUCAAGUCAUUGAAACCAGUCUUUAGAACUAGCAAGUCAGGAAGAGAAGUGCUGCUUGCUACUUCUACUGCUACAUCGUCGACUCCAGAUAUUUCACCAAAGUUCUCACUGCUACUCCAAGAAUUUGAAGACGUUUUUGCGAUUCCAACUUCAUUACCUCCACUCAGAGGAAGUGAACACGCAAUUACACUAAAACCCGGAGUUAAUGCAGUAUCUGUUCGACCUUAUAGGUACCCACAUGCCAGCAAAGUGGCCAUGGAACAGAUGGUGAACGAUAUGCUAGUGUCGGGUAUCAUACGCCCAAGCACUAGCCCCUUCUCUAGCCCGGUGUUACUUGUCAAAAAGAAGGACGGUUCUCUUCGCUUUUGCGUUGAUUACAGGUCACUCAACAGAGCUACAGUGCUGGACAAGUACCCAAUACCGGUUAUUGAUCAACUUUUGGAUGAACUUCAUGGAGCCUCUGUGUUUUCGAAACUGGACCUCCGUUCCGGUUAUCAUCAGAUCAGAAUGAUGGAAGAAGACAUCCCUAAAACCGCGUUCAGAACAGUGGAAGGUCACUACGAGUUCUUAGUAAUGCCGUUUGGCUUAACUAACGCACCGGCGACUUUCCAAGCACUGAUGAACAAAGUUUUUAAACCCUUUCUCCGUAAAUUUGUACUGGUGUUCUUUGAUGAUAUUCUGAUCUACAGUAAGGAUCAUCAGUCUCACGAACAACAUUUGCGGUUAGUGUUACAAGCUUUGCGGGACCAGAAGUUGUUUGCCAACCAGAAGAAAUGUUCUUUCGGUGUGUCUUCUGUGGAGUAUUUGGGUCACAUGAUUUCGGUGGAGGGUGUAGCGACAGAUUCUGCUAAGAUCAGUGCAAUGCAGGAAUGGCCAGAACCGAAGACAGUGAAACAACUGCGUGGAUUUUUGGGCUUGACAGGGUACUAUCGGAAGUUCAUCAGAGACUAUGGCAGCAUUGGUCGACCACUGACGGUUUUAUUAAAGAAUGAUCAGUUUUGCUGGUCACAGUUAGCACAAGAAGCGUUUGAUAGAUUGAAGUAUGCAAUGGUUCAUGCACCGGUGUUGGCUUUACCGGAUUUUGAAAAGACAUUUGUUAUUGAGUCAGAUGCAUCAGGAUUUGGGUUGGGAGCAGUAUUGAUGCAAGAUAAAAGGCCUAUAGCGUUUUUCAGCCAUGCUUUGACGCCACGAGAACAGCUAAAACCAGCUUAUGAGAGGGAGCUCAUGGCCAUUGUUAUGGCUAUACGUAAAUGGAAGCAUUAUCUUUUGGGCAGAAAAUUUCAGGUGCAUACAGAUCAAAGAAGUCUCAAGUUUUUGUUGGAACAGAAGGAGGUGAAUUUGGAGUAUCAAAAAUGGUUAACAAAGAUUUUGGGAUUUGAUUUUGAGAUAUUCUACAAACCUGGAUUGGAGAACAAGGCAGCUGAUGGGUUGUCAAGGUCAAUGUCAAUUUCUACAUUGCUAUUGUCUCUAACGGUUCCAACGGCUUUACAAUGGGAAGAUCUAUUCAAGGAGAUUAGGGAGAAUAAGGCGUUACAAGAGACUAUUAAGAAGAUUCAAACGGGUGAUUUAAAGUCUAAGAAGUACCAAGUGAUUGAGGGAAGGCUGUGGUCGAAGCGUCGCUUGGUUAUUCCGAGAUCUUCACAUUUCAUUCCGGUGAUUCUAAAGGAGGCACAUGACAGCAAAGUGGGUGGUCAUUCGGGAGUGUUAAAAACGGUUAAACGGGUGCAGUGCUCAUUUUUUUGGAAGGGAAUGUUCAAGCAGAUUCAGGAGUAUGUGGCUUCUUGUAGCGUGUGUCAGACGCAUAAACAUUCUACACUUUCACCUGCAGGGUUACUUCAGCCUCUACCUAUUCCGGAUCGUGUGUGGGAAGACAUUAAUAUGGAUUUCAUUGAAGGACUUCCAACAUCGAAUGGCUUCAAUGUGAUCUUAGUGGUGAUUGAUCGUUUGAGUAAGUUCGCACAUUUCGUGAGUCUGAAACACCCUUUUACAGCGCUGGAUGUGGCAAAGAAGUUUGUCUCUGAGAUUGUUCGCUUGCACGGAUUUCCGAAGAGCAUCGUCUCUGACAGAGAUAGAAUUUUCUUGAGUUCAUUUUGGACUGAAGUAUUUCGUUUAGCAGGAACUACAUUGAAGUAUAGUACGGCUUUUCAUCCACAAACAGAUGGUCAGUCCGAAGUCUUAAACCGAUGUUUGGAGACAUAUUUGAGGUGCUUCAGUUCUUCUCAUCCGAGGUCCUGGCAUGCUUAUUUGGCGUGGGCAGAGUUGUGGUAUAAUACCACAUACCACAAGUCACUGCAAACGACUCCGUUCAAAGUACUUUAUGGCAGAGAUCCUCCUCCUUUGUUACGUUUUGAACCUGGUUCUACGGCUAACUUCGAGCUGGAUGUUGCGUUACGUGAACGUGAUGAGAUGUUGGAUGAUCUGAAGCAGAAUCUUUUGCGGGCACAGGAGAUUAUGAAGCAGCAGGCUGAUAAGUCACGGAGGGAUGUAGAGUUCAAGGAGGGCGAUAUGGUUUACUUGAAGCUGCAGCCUUACAGACAGAAAACAGUAGCACGACGUUUUUGUCAAAAACUGGCUGCCAAAUAUUAUGGACCAUAUAAGAUCAUUGCGAGAGUUGGGAUGACAGCUUAUAAGCUACUCUUACCAGACAAGGCUCGUGUCCAUCCUGUAUUUCAUAUCUCUCAGUUAAAAUUGGCGUUGGGUUCGCAGGAGCAGAGUACCGCGUUACCUCCGGGAGCCAUUGUUACAGCAGAAGAAACUUUGGAACCUGGAGAGGUAUUGGACAAGCGUUAUGGGACGAAGGGAGAGUUGGAACUGCUGGUUCAUUGGAGUGGGAAGUCGUCUCUUGAAGAUUCAUGGAUGUCGUUGGAGGAGUUUCGUGGGUGUUUUCCUUCGUACCAGCUUGAGGGCAAGCUGGAUUUCGUUGGGGGAAGUAUUGAUAGGCUCAAGAGGGUUUACUAUCGUAAGAAGAAGGGAAAAGAAGCAACAGAAGAAGGGUGUUGAUUAGUAAAGGAGCGUGAGCAAUAAGGAAGAAGUGGGAAACCUUCUAUUUCGAGUAGAGUGUUUGCAGUUACAACGGUUAGUUGAGCUGAGAGCUAGUAUAAAUAAGAGUCUGUAACUCGUAGAGAGGUAUGCUUUUUGUUGUAGUUUGUUAUGGACGUUAUGAGUCUGUACUUCUCAAUCGAGAUGAGAUUGAGGAUCUAGAGUGAAACUCGCCAUGAGAGUGUAGCUCGAGAUCACACAACAAAGCUAGCUAUCUUGUACUUCGUUAUUCAAUACAGAAGAGUAUUAUUCAGUUACAUAGAUCGAAAGUCUAUCAGUAAUCCACCUGAAACUCGAAAUGAACACACAACAUCAAGAACGAAAUAAGGGGUGGAUGAUAUCAAGGAUGAAUGAACACGUUGAGGUUAAUAAAGAAAAAUAAAAAGUGAAACCUGACUUGUCGCGGUGUUGAAAAUUAACUCCUCGAAGCUGACAGCAACUCUCAUGAGCUCUUCGAUUCCUUCUUUCCCAGAAUAUGGAAUAUGUUUCUUCAGUGUUUCCAAUCUACUCAAAUGACAAAAGUAACUUGUCUAUCUAUAAGCAUAUUCAUAGGGUCAAAGCAAUACAACAAAACUUUGUGAAACAUUCUACUUCUACAGAAUUUUGAUCAUUAAAUUGACUUAGGAAUGACAAAAGAGUAGCAAGAGUGAGAAAAUAUGACAAAUUUGGAAGAGGGACAAAACUCACAGUGUGUUGACAUUCUUCUGGCGUGAACCUGGUGGAUGUUGAGUUCUCCAGUCACCUCUGUUUAUGCCAAGAUUACCUAUGUGGACAAAGCAAAGUGUUUGCAUUAAAUUCAUAGAAAUUCUCCCAGCUACUAGUGUUUCGGAGGACAUACACACACUACUCUCUUAGAGAAAAAAAACAUCGUAACGUACUUUCUCCAACUUGGCUGAAGCUCUCUGGUAGAUUUCGUGAAGUUCUGCUAAGUACUUUUCGUUUAUAGUUCUGAUCUGCAAAGACAAAGCACCAUGUGGUCACACGGUUAUUCAUUGCAGUGAUAAUCUUUGUCUUAUUGCAUCUAUCUCUUGACACUUUAAUAAGCGUAGACAGAAUUAGUACUAUAUAUAGCGAACUGAUUUUAUCUCCCAGAAUUCAUCAAGAGUAAGAGGACACUACAGAAGCAUUAACUAGAAAGAAACAACUACCUUUUGGUAAACCUCCUCUUGCCAAUCAACACCAUUUGCACUUUCCAUCUGAUGCUCAGCAUCAGAUCCUGCUGAGGUGGGAUUAUGUAAAGUAUGAGAAACUAAAGUAUUCACAAGGAUGUAGAAAAAGCAUACAUGAUGGAAUCUCCGGAAGGGUUCUUUGGGAUUGAUAUAGUUGGUCCACUACUUUUUGAGGUGGAAGCAGAGAACCUGUGACUUGACCUGAAGAUUGUAGCCUCUGUUGCACAUCCUGUUGUAGCAGAUUAGGUUGUUGUUGCAAACCUAACUGCUGAUGAUGCGACAGUUGGCCCUGAAACAGAAACAAGCCAUGAGUAGUAGCCUGAUGCAGCCCAACGGUUGGCUGUGAUAACAUGUGCACCGACUGCUGGUUAGUCUGGGAACUGAGCAACUGACGUUGUGGUUGCUGCAGUCCUGCAACACUUCUUUGAGUGCCCAAUGGUUGCUCAUGAAGGCUGCUUUGUUGAGACAUCAAAUGCUGUGGCAACUGAUAUCUCCAGUCACCAGGUUCUCCUUUUGGAACGGAAGGUCUCCAAUUGUUGUUAUCCAUCAACUGUUCCUUCCUACGUACACAAACCUUGAAGAGAAAAUAACCAAAAAAAAACUUGAGGAAACAAACGACUACACACAAGACAAGAUGGGUUAUAUGGACACUGAGAUUCAGAGCAGCUAGGCUAAUAAUAAUAAUAGCAAGUUUGAGCCACGGAAUCACCAAUUCUAAAGAAAAUCAAAAUCAGUUGACUUCACUGAUCAGUCAAAUUCACGGUUGCUACAAACGAUUAUGGUUGGAGAAACGGAAUUGAACAACAUAUAUAAAGGAUCUAUAUGGUCAAACGUAGAAUCAUAACCUGACUCCAUUAUGUAUCCUCGCAACUUAUAGCUUACCAAAGUUUUCAAAGUCGUCGCUGUGGCUAUUUAGUUACGUCAAACCCCUCCAAUUAAAUGAGAAAUUACAAGAUGAACCAGCCAACUACGAGUCACUUUUACGACGUUUACAUCUCAUCAUAUGGUUUAUCCCAAUGUUUUAAACACGACCGAACACUGAACCGGAUGACAAAAAAAGUCAAAGGAUAUACAGAGUGUAUAUGUGGCAAAGGAGAAAUUUAAAUGUUUUUCACUUUUUUAUUUCAAAUAUAGAACAAAAUGUAAUCAGGAAAUUUUGAAAAUUUAAGAAAAAAAAUAAAAAAUUAUUUUGGCCGAUGUUUCAAUCGGUGGCCAAAAUUUAAAUGUUUUUACGAGUUUUGUCAGAUUGUUAAAUAAUAGAUAUUUCAUGAGAAAACAAACAAGUUAGUUAUCAAAUCACCAAAUUUGCCAAUUCGACCGCGGAUCCAAAUCAGAUGUAAAAACACUGGUUUAAUCUUUUCACAGCUACUGUAAGGCGUAUGUAUAGAAGGAAACCUAUUUAUAAGUGGUAACUCUGUUUUUGUUUUUUUUUUGUUUUUUCAAAAAAAACUCUGUUUUUGUUUUUAACCAAAGAAAGAAAAAACUUUUUCAAUUGAUGUUGGAAAAACCAGAAAUCAUCCCAAAGUAAGUAUACAUUUGACAUGUUUAUCCAUGUAUUUCCUUUCUUAACUCUUCAAGGUGUGAUCUUUAUAUACAAAUAUGUAUAUGGACUUUGCUAUUCCUAGAAUAAUUUAAACCGCUUUGAGAACACUCCCCUUGUUUGACUUAGGUUGCCUCUUCCAAAUUCUGCAUCUUUAAGGAUAUUUUGCUCAAGUAAUCCACCUGAAACUCGAAAUGGACAGACAACAUCAAAAACGAAACGUAACACAUUGAGCUUAAUCAAAAUAUAGUGAAACCUGAUUUCUCGCAGUGUUGAAAAUUAACUCCUCGAAGCUGACAGCAAUCCUCAUGAGCUCCUCAAUUCCUUCUUUCCCAGAAUAUGGAACAUGUUUCUUCAGUGUUUCUAAUCUGCUCAAACGACAAAAGUAACUUCUCUCUCUUUAAGCAUAUGCACUAUGUCAAAUCAAUACCGACAACGUUUUAUUUCUACAGAUUUUUAUCAUUAAAUUGGCUUUGGGGAGGAAAUGAGUAGCAAGAGUGAGAAAAUAUGAACAUUUUGGAGGAACAAACUCACAGCUUGUUGACAUUCUUCUGGCGUGAACCUGGUGGAUGUUGAGUUCUCCAGUCACCUCUGUUUAUGCCAAGAUGACCUAUGUGAAUAAAGCAUUGACAACAGAUUUCUAACUCCAUUUAAACCCUUCAAGAGAAACAAAUCAAGUGGGAAAAUGGAUGCAACUGAGCUCCAACAUCCAUUUAUUACACACUUAAAAUGGACUAAAAUUUACCAUAUCCAAAACAAGCUUCUGCUACUACAUGAAGGACUUCAAUCUCGGAGAAAGAAAGUCAUUUACCUAGAUCCAAGGGUAGGCUGUUGCUGGCAGCAAGGAGAGAUAUCUUUGCGGAUAUUUGGCGAAGGUAAUCAAUCUGGAUGUUUAUAUAAAAUAUCAGACCAAAAAACAAGUUAUGAAUUAAAUCAAGAAGGUAUACAUUGAUGUUGUAAAGCCAGUGAAUCACCUGGUGAUCAGCACUGUUGAAAAUAUUCUCCUCCAAUCUGGCAGCAAAUCCCCUGCGCUCGUUGGAUCUCUCUGUCCCGGAAUGGUGCUUCACUAGUGUAUCCGUUCUACAUUAUAUAAUUAUUGGGUGAAACGAGAUAUGAAACCAUAACAAUAACACUCUAUUUCUAAAGGCUAUAACAUCAAACUGGCUUGGGGGAAAUGAUAGUAGGUGAGAAAGAUGACAGCUCUUUUGAAUGAGACAAAACAAACUCACAUAUUGUUGACAAUCAUCUUGCGAGUAGCAGGUGGCAGUUGAGCUCUCCAGUCUCCAGUGUCCACGGCAGAUUCUCUGUUGGGAAGAUAAGAAGGCCUCAGACUGUUAUUGUCCAUUAGGCUUCCUACAUCGACAUUAGCCUUACCGGCUAUAGCAAUCACAACAGUUACUCAAACUUUAGAUACAAAUUCUCUUCUUCGUUUUUUGAAAAGUUCCUUUUGGUUUAACUACAAAAGGUUACAAGCGACAAAACAACCUUCUAAUGCAAGAUGGAGUAAUUAGAAAAUAUUUUGCUAGGCUUACGAAAAUAGAGCACAAAGGGAUUGAUUGUUAGUACCCGGAUCAGCUGCAUUUUUAACCGUGUUUUCUAUCGUCAGCACCUCUAAGGAUAUUUUCCGAAGGUAAUCAUUCUGAGACUCAAAAUAAAAAAAGGGAAAAUUAGACCAGAAGCAUGACAUGAGACAAAUCUGGAAGGCAUACAAAAAUCAAAUAUAUGGCUACCAAAUGUCAGUUCUUUAGUCCAAUUCCAUCGGUAUGUUUAGGACACUAGAGAAAACAAAGAAGAGAUGUUGAGCAUAUUACCAAGUUAGCAGCAGUGUUGAAAACUUUAUCCUCAAAUCUGGAGGCAAUUUUACUGUGCUCGUUGACUCCCUCUGGUCCAGAAAAUGGAAGGUGUUGUUUCUUCAGUGCUUCCGUUCUGCGCUAACAGAAAAAAAGUUAUUUAAGUUAAAACCAAAACAAAAUCAAGAAACUGUGGUGGAACCGUCCAUGUGACAUAUACAUUAGGCUGAGAAACAUAAUCUAAUAGAUAUAAUAAAACGUACAUCAUGUUGACAAUGCUCUCACGUGCAUCAGACUGCAAUUGAGUUCUCCAGUCUAAUGUGUCAAUCGCACGUUCCCCAUUGGGACAAGAAGGCCCCAUUAAGUGUGUGUCCUGCCUUUACAAUCCACAAAGCAUCAUCAAAUACCGGACAAAUGAGAUUCAGAAGGAAGAAUCUUAACUAUUACAAACAAAACGACUUCAUCUACUCUCAUUAUUGUAAGAAUACGAAACACUUUCUCUCGAAUCCAAGCCACAAGGGGAAAAAAUCUCAAAGCAAAGCCCUAGAUUCGAGAAAACAGAAACGAAAUUAGGAAACUGGACCUUGAAUCGACGAUGAGAUUACGCAGUUUCGAGGUCAAAGUCGCAGACCAGCGUUCCCUUUACAGCGAAGGAAACCAAAGGGCGGAAGAACAACGGGAAAGGAGAAAUUGAAGUCAGAGCUAGGGCUUUUAUACUAUGGCCCAUUGAGCUUAAACAAGCCCAAACUAAUAAUUUAACUUUUUAACUCCUUUAAUCAUGGUAACUUGUUUUGUUCUGAGUGACAACAAUAAAAUCGAAAGUAACGCAAUGCUUUUGAACCUUCUUCUUCUUCUCCUCAUUAUUAGGAUAAUAACAAUAUUAACUGUUUUAUACUUGUGGAAAGAAUCUUGUACGUAACUAAAGAAGGUUUUACAUAAGCAUAUAUAUAUAUAUAUAUAUGUAUAAAUGUUGGUUAAUUUGGGUUGUAACCUGAAAAAUUAUGAAUUAUAUAUUUGGAUAAUGAUUGAAUCGCCAGUGCUUUCUUUUGAUCCUAUUUCGAACCUUGGGUUACACGAAAAUCAAAGUCUCACUCUUGUUCUACGCUAAGAUACAAGAGAAACAAAUAGAACUUUAGUGUUUAUACGUGUUUUUUCAAAGUUUUGAUGAUUUUUAAACAAUGAAUCUUUUUCUCUCUCUCUUUCUUACUAACUAUUAGUUUCUGAUUUUUUAUAUUUCCAUUUUUCAAUGCCUACACCUCGUUAUAUAGAGAAUGAAGAGUUGCAACCAAUAGUUGCAAUGGUUAAAUCAAAAGUUGCAAAAAUUAAUGAAGAGUUGCAAUAAUUAGUAAAUAGUUGCAAUGGUUAAUCACCAAAGGUUACAUUUAUCUAUUAUGGUUAAUUAGCAAAGAUUGCAAUCAUUAAUGGUUGCAAGGUUUCAUUGUACAGUUGCACACAUUCAAUAAAUACCGAAGAGGAGGACUACAAGCCUGACUUAACAUGAGAGAGAGCAAGGCGAGGCUUCCUCCGCAAGAAAUAUGUUACCGAUUAUAAAAACUUUUAUUCAUGCCUUUAACUUUGGAGGCUUUUAAGCUCUACUUCUUAACAUUAUCAUCAAUACAUAUGUGGAAUCGCCUGAAAGUUCCAAACGCUCCCCCUUCAACGCAAUUUUACUUAGUCGUCCUUUUCCAUAGUCUGCAUCUUUAAGGAUAUUUUGCGAAAGUAAUCUACCUGAAACUCGAAACAAACCAUGCUCAAUCAAGAAAUUUUCACAGCACCGUCAUCCCCACUGCUUCACUAAUGUUAGCUAAAAAUAGAAUGAAGAAGAGGGAAGUGAGUAAGACCUGGUUUAAAGCAGUGUUGAAUAUUAACUCCUCGAAGCUGAUAGCAAUUCUCCUGAGCUCCUCAAUUCCUUCCUGCCCUGAAUACGGAACAUGUUUCUUCAGAGUUUCCAAACUGCGCCAAAUGACCAAAAAAAAAAAGAAGAUAUUAUUCAUAGGUCAAGGCACUACUAUGUUUAUAACAAAAACAAAAAUAAAAUGCAACGAACUUACAGCUUGUCGAUAUUCUUCUGGCGUGAAUCAGGUGGCAGUUGAAUUCUCCAGUCACCUGAGUUUAUGGCAGGUUCCACGUUCAGGAGAGAAGGCUCUGCAUUGUCCUUGAUCAAAUGAUUCACUGUGGAGUAUUCACAAAGCAUCAAGGGUUAAAGACCAUAUAAGCUCCACAACCAGCUUCUGCCAAGUACACGAAGAACGUUGCUUACUAAUGUCAUCCAAGGUUAGGUUGUUACUAUCAGCAAGGAUAGAAGAAUCGGAACCAGCUGCAUUUUGAGCUUUAGUCUCCAUAGUCAGGAUCUUCAUCGAUAUUUUCCGGAGGUAAUCAGUCUGAAAAUUCAAAAAUAAAAAAAGAAAAUCAGGAUCAUAGCUUUCAUACACCAACCGUAUAAUGGGGGGCUACAAAAGAUCAUAUCUUAUUUUCCCAUGUCCAUUUGUUUUUGCAAAUCUCUAAUAUAAACCCACACUAACGAAACAAAAUUAAUAUAAAGGAGGACAAGAGGUGUGUGUUACCUGGUGAACAGCACUGCUGAAAAUUUUCUCCUCGAACCUGGCAGCAAUUCUCUUGAGCUCGUUAAUCCCUUCUGGUCCAGAAUACGGAAAGUGCUUCUUUAGUGUAUCCAUUCUGCGCAAGUAAAUCAUGUAAGAACAAUUACCAAAACUUUUAACUUAUAUAUAUAAUAGCAGCAUAGAAACCUUCUAUUUAUAGAAAAAAUAUAUAUAUACAAAACAGGAGAUGUGAUGAUGAAGUUACAUCUUGUUGACGAUGUUCUGUCGUGAACCCGGUGGCAGUUGAGUUCUCCAGUCACCUGAUUUUAUGGCAGGUUCUUCGUUCAGGAGAAAAGGCUCUACAUUGCCAUUAUUGAUCAUGAGAUUGUCUGUGGAAUAUUCACAAAAGCAUCAAAGGGUAGAUCUUAUAAGAAAACAAAACACAUAACAAACCAAAUGGAAUCUAUUUCAAAUGAAGGCACGGAGGACAAAGAUGGAUAACAAUUAACCGCUGAAAACUUCAUAUUAGGUGCCUAUUGUGGCAUUUAGAUUAGCUCACACACAUGGAGAAUAAUGGAUUAUCCAAAACAAGCUUCUGCUAAGUAGAUGAAGGACGCGUUGCUUACUAAGUUCAUCGAAGGCUAGGUUGCUACUAUCAGCAGGGAUAGAAGAAGCGGAACCGGCUACAUUUUGCGAUUUAGUCUCCAUAGUCAACAUCUUCAUAGAUAUUUUCCGAAGGUAAUCAUUCUGAAAGUAACAAAAUAAAAGAAAAUCAGGACCGGUAGGUAUACAUGGCCAGCAUACACCACCGUAUAAUUGGGCUACAAAAGAUCAUAUGCUUAUUUUCCAUGUCCAUUGCUUUAGCAAAUCUCUAUAUAAAACCAUAUACUAACGAAACAAAUACAGAGGACGUGUGUAUUAUUUAUUACCUGGUGAACAGAACUGCUGAAAACUUUCUCCUCGAACCUAACAGCUAUUCUCUUGAGCUCGUUGAUUCCUUCUGGUCCAGAAUAUGGAAGGUGCUUCAUUAGUGUAGCCAUUCUGCGCAAGUUGCAAGUCAAUCAUGUAAGAAUAAUUUACCAGAAACAAAAAAAGCUUAUUGAAACCUUCUAGUUCUAGAGGAUAUAUGUAUAGAGAGAGAGAGAGAGAGAGAGAGAGAGAGAGAGAGAGAGAGAGAGAGAGAGAGAGAGAGAGAGAGAAAAGGAGAUAUGAUGAUGAAGUUACAUCUUGUUGACGAUCUUCUGUCGUGAAUCAAAUGGCAAAUGAGUUCUCCAGUCAUUUGCGUCCAUGGCAGGUUCUCCGUUAUUAACAGAAGGCGCCAUCAAGAUCAAGACUUUUAUAACUUCAAUUAGAACAAAAAGAAAAAACAGAUUAAAGUGUGAUUAGCUCCAAAUGUCUUGUAGUUAUGGAGACUUAGAGCACAAGAAAACAAACUAUUGAGCCAAACCUCUCUGAUCAAGUACCAACUUCUUUCACUGAUUGGUCGACAUAAUAAAAUUAAAUUUAUUAUCAUCCUACUUGUAAACGUGAAAUAAACAAGCCACGAUACUUUUCUCGUAUCCGGACCAGAAGAAGAAACACAAAAUUCAAGAAAACAAAAUCACCUUAGAUUUGCUGCAAGGGCUUUCGGGGAUCGAGAGUUGCGACGAGCAGAGAACAAGACCAAGACCAAGAACUUGCUUGAACAUAAAUGUAAAUAGAAAAAUGAAAAGAGGUGACAUGGCCUUAUUAUAUGAACCCAAAUAUGUAAUGAAUUUUUCAGAGAAAAAAAUGUUACAAGGGGCCCACUGAAAUUUGAUUAGUCAGAACUAAAAAAAACUAUUUUAUUUUAUUGCCCACAUUUUUUAAAGAAAAAAAUCUGCCCGAUUGCCUUCUUAGCAUUUUGAUUAGAUUGUGUAGUAGUAUUUUGUUUAACAGAUUAUCAAUCAACUUUUUUACCUCCAUUAAAAUUUACUUCUGGAUCCACGUCUAAUUAAAUUUAGUUACUGGAUCUAGUAUCAAACAUUAUGCAGUGCCUAUACAGUCUAACCCUUAACUCAACUGCUCCAAAAAGGAAAACAGUUUUGAUUCUACACCAGUUAAAUGAAGGAAACGUUGUUUUUCCUUGUUGAGGAUUUCGGAUGCGUUAGAAAAAUCCCUCCAUGUUUAUUCAUUCCUAAUGCCUUGAACUUUGGAGGUUUCAAGGUGUGAUCUUGAAGGAUGUUUUGUGAAGAUAAUCCACCUGAAACUCGAGAUAAACAGAAUAUCAAACCAAAAGAAGUUUUGAUAUCAAGGUUCACUGUCACUGGAGAUCAUACAAUAACAAGGUUCAUUGGUUUGCAAUCCAUAGCAUUUAGAUUAAGAGAAUAACUAGGUUUUGACCCGCGCUUUGAAAAGCGCGGAUUUUGUUUUUCAUUUACUGAAAUUAAUUUAAAAAUUAAUAUUAUCUUCUUUUCAUAUCUUAACAAUAAAAAUUUUUAAACUUUUAUCAUUUUCAUUUUUUUCAAAAUAUGGUAUUUUUCGAAAUAGAUUUAAAGAUGAUAUGUGUGAUUUAAUAGUGUAUAUAUAUAUAGAGUAAUGAUGUGAAUUGUCGAUUUUACACUGAAAAUGAGUUUUUCUUGUCAUAUAUUUGUAUUAUAGUUCUAACCAUCAAUAUACAAAUAUUUUUUUUUAUCUUUAUUAGAUUUAGAAGCUAAUAAUAUUUUUGAAAGCACACCAGUUUUUUAUGUCAACAUUUUAUUAGAAAAUAAAUAAUUUAAUGUUAAUUUAUUAUAAUGUUUGAGGUUCAAGUACUAUUUUCAUAUCUGAUCCAAAUCAGUGGUUGAACCGAUCAAGAUGAAACCAUGUAUAUAAUCUUGUUCGGAUUCAAUGAAAAAAUCUUUUAUUAAAAUCUGAUUGAAAACCUUGGUAAAAACCCAACAACUUGUUAUUAACCAAUUAUGAUUUUGCUGUGACAAUAUUAGUUUAUUGAUAUGAUAAUAUUAGUUUAUUUUUUAUUAAUAACCUAUUAUAAUUUGUAUUUUUAUUUUAUAUUUAAAUUUAAUUUUAUAAUAAUUUAAAAAUAUUCUUACACUUAUAAUUGCUAUAUCAAUAUUAUGGACAAAAUGACAUAAUAAAUGAUUUUAUGUUAAGGUACUAUAUAAUAUAAAUAUUUACAUAAUUGUUUAUUUGUAUUUAACAAUUUGAAAUAAACGAUAGAAAAUAAAUUAUAGGUUAGAUGAUAAAAUCAGUAUUAUAAAAUAUAUUUUUGUUUAAAAAAAUAAGAUUGGGCCUUAAACUCGUUAGAUAAGUUAACGGAGGCAUUUUGGUUGGAUUUUUUUUGGUUAAACGGUCUAAUGAAAUCGUUUCAAUAAUAAUAGGCCUUAAUUAAAUAGAUUAGUAUGUAAAUUUAUUAUGGUUAGUGAAUAUAGCAUUUUUUUAAGGAAGUAAAUAUCCAACGUAUGCCUAAAUGUCCUCAUAAUUAUAGCAUAACUGAUUUUGUUUCUUUUUUCAUUUGAUGUUAAAUGAGGCAAAAAUAAUUAGAAAAAAUCUAAAUAAGGGAGUGGCAUACAUUUGUAAAUAACUUGAAAAACUAAGGGCAGAAUCCUAGUAGGGAUUCUGCUUUAAUAGUAUAGAUAAUAACUAAUCGUCUUGACUUGGACCACUAUAAACAAGAGUUUUGCUGCAUGAAUUUCAUUCCACCGUUCUACCAAUAUUCCAAGAUAAAAAAAAAAAUGAUGAAACCUGAUCAAUAGCAGUGUUGAAAAUCAACUCCUCGAAGCUAGCAGCAAUUUUCUUGAGCUCUAUAUCUCCUUCUUUCCCACAGUUUGGAACAUGUUCCUUUAGUGUUCCCUUUCUGCUCAAAUGACAAAACAAACAGUUUAACUGUACAUCAUCAACAUAGGUCACACCUACGGCACUGUGUCAGAACGUUGUAACAUUGUUUUUCUACAGAGCUUUAGCACUAAGCUGGCUCUGAAGUGAGCAAAGAUGACAAUUUCGAAUAGACAACUAAUACGCAGUGUGUAUAAUGAACUUACAUUUUGUUGGCAUUCUUCUUGCGUGAAUCCGGUGGCAGACAAGUUCUCCAGUCACCUGUGUUCACAACAGGCUCUGCUUCGACGGGUCCUUCGACUGUCAUCUGAUGACAACCUGUAUAUGUUCACAAGACGACUUAACAAAUGAAUUGUGAUGAUAUUUCAAACACACCCAAAAAUUUCAUGUUAUUAUUAUGUGUUCUAGUUUAUAUCAUAUACAUACAUCUAAGCUUACAUGAAGAGAUCAAUGCGUUAACUUUACACACCAACAAAAGCUAAUGCUACUACAUGCAUGAAGGGCUUUAUACCCGGAUUCAAGGGCAGACGGUUAUAACCACCAGGGAUCGGUAAAGAAGAACCAGCUGCAUUUGGUGCUUUAGUAUCCAAAGGCAGCAUCUUGAUGGAUAUUUUCCGAAGGUAAUCAGUCUGAAAUUUCGAAAAGAAAACAAGGAUCAGUUAUAUAUACAUAGCUAGCUACCAUAUAAUGGGGGGCCUUAAAGAUCAUAUCUUCUUGAUCCAUGUCCAUUGCCACUCGCCAAUCUCCACACUAAGGGAACAAAAUACAUAGGAGGAAGGAAGUGUUACCAGGUUAACAGCAUCGCUGAAAAUUUUCUCCUCGAAUCUGGAAGCAAUCUUCCUGAGCUCGUUCAUUUCCUCUGGUCCAGAAACUCGAAGGUACUUAUGCAGUGCUUCCAUUCUGCAUGCAAGUAAAAUCAAGUAAGAAGAAACAAAAGAGAACUUAUUGAUCUAUACAACAAGAGAUAUUAUGAUGAUGAAGAAGAAGUUAAGUUACAUCUUGUUGACGACCUUCUGGCGUCCACCAGAUGGCAAUUGAGCUCUCCAGUCAUGUGUGUCCAUGGCAGUUUCUCCUUUAUCAACACAAGUCCCCAUCUAAGUACUUCUAUUAUAUAACUCAAUUAGAAAACAAGUUAAAAAGUGUGAUUAACCCUCACAUGUCUUGUAAUAUUUUCUAGGGCACGAUACACUGAAAAAACGCACUGUACCAGCGUAUGGCACAAGAAACAAACUAUUCAGUUGAACCUCUCAACACUAGUUCAGUACCAACUUCGUUCAGUGAUUGGUUGAAAUUUUUUAAAAAAAUCAUAUAAUCUCCUCCUCCUAAAAUGGAAGGAAAAAGAAAACGAGCCACAAUGCUUUUCUCGCAGCCCAGCCACAAGAAGAUAACGAAACCCUAAAAUCAAAGACGAAAAAUAACGACAUUCGAAAAACAAAUCACCUCAGGUUGCAGGGAGGACGACGAGCAGGGACCAAUACUUUGCUUGCUUACUUAACAUAGAUCUAAAUUUGUUUGAUCAAAAAAAAAAAAAAAAAAUCUAAAUUUGUAAACAGAAAGUGAAACCGAAACUAGUAUUUGUAAACCGGCUCAAUUAAGCAAUAAAGAGGAGACACGGUCUAGUGAGCCCAGAUAUAUAGGGCCAAUAUAUGUUACAAGGAGGACCUACUGAAAUUUUAUUAGUCAGUAGUCAGUACAAUUAUUAUAAUUUAAAACUGGGUGUUAAAUGGUUUUUAUUUCUCAUUAAACCUACUAGAGAUUUUUCCGGGCUACGCCCGGGUUUAUUCAAAUAAAAUUGUAUUUAAUAUCUAUGUUAUAAAAAUAUAAAUAAAAAUUAAAUUAGAAAUUGAGUAAGACUUACAAUUUAUUUUCUUACUAUCUAAAAUAUAUAUGGGAUGGUGAACAAAUGCGAAAUGAAUAAAGAAUUUGUUAAAUGUUAGUUAUAUCCAAAAUAUAUUUUCUUACAUAUUUAGGUUAUUAAGAAAAUAUAUUAUUAAUCUCCACAUCACAUAUUUCUUUGUUAUGUAUACUAUUUAUAUCAUAUUUAUGUUUUUAUAUGUUAUUUAAUAUUUUAUAAUAUAUUUUCUUAUGAUUAUAAUUCAUUUCUUACAAUUGUACUAAGUAAAGCUAAUUUAAAUACUCAUUGCUUUAAAUUAAAAAAAACUUUAAAUUUUUUUGUAUGUGUUAAAUACACUGAAAAAUCUAUGAAAAUAUUAUUAUUACUAUAUUUUUUUGCCAGCAAUUAUUAUUACUAUAUUGCUUGUUUAGUUAUAAGCAAAACAAAUAUCUUACAAUCUAGCUAUAGUUAAAAUAUUAAUCUGGAUUAAAACUAAAUCUAAAAUGAUAAUCAAAAUAUUCUCAAGAGAUAUUCAAAAUUUAUUUAAAUUUUAUUUUUAUAUAUUAGUUGGUUUUAAAAUUACUAUUUUUCAAAAUACAAUCAUGUUAUUACGCUGUUAUUCAAAAAUGAAUUUUUAGAUACUAAUUAGGGGAGUUUUGGAUAUAUUUUUAGUCCAAAACUAUGAUCCAAAAACAUUAUAAUAUAUUUUUAGUCCAAAACUAUGAUCCAAAAACAUUAUUUUCUUAUUAUUAUUUUUUUCCAGUAAAAACAUUCUACAAUCUUGUACUAAUAUCACAAAUUGAAAAUUUAAAUUAUUUCUAAUUUGAUAUAGCCUUAUUAUUUUAAUUUCCAUUAAAAAUGGUCAUUUAGUUUUCUUCUUAUUUCGUGUCUUUAAUAUUUGUUUUGUUAAACUUCAUACACUAUUUUUUUAAAUUUUUUUUUACUUUUUGUGAACAGAAAUUUUAAAAUGUUUGUUGGCCAUUAUUGCUGAAUGUGGUACGGUUAAUCUUGUAGGUGUCUUUAGAGAGGAGGCAAAAGCUCAUGAACUGGUUUUUUUUAUCUUGUGUGGUUCAGUGGUUCUUUCAUUAUAGUUCUCUUUGUUAGAUUCUAAGUCUUUCUUUUGUUAGUUUUUGCGAUUGUUUAAAUACCAAAAGUAAAGAUUGCACAUUAAGAUCAAAGAUGUAAUUCCAGUAAAAUGCCAAAUAAUGGAAAGAGUAUAAAGAACUAUGCAAUAAACUAACAUGGUGGAAUUGAGACAAAACAGAAGUAUAUAAUUUCUCAUGAUAAUAAUACGAUCAUGUUCUGCAUAUUACAAUUCCAAACUGUAUCGCAAGUAAUUUGUCAACAUUAUUUACUCACUGAGCUAGUUUGUGUCUUUUUAUCCUCUCUAGCGCACCCAAAGCCUCUUACCGUCUUGCUCUCACUUUCUGGCAGGUCCUCCAAACACAGCAUCUCAUAAGUGAACUCUACUUUGUCUUCUCAAACAGAUUCAUCAUCACACUCUUCAGGAAGCUCAGUACCUUGCACAUUCCCUGUCACCAACUCACAAACCCCAGUUUUCUUGCACCAUCUUUUGAUGUAACUGUGGUAGACAUUGGGGACAUGAACUGCCUCUUCAACGCUGCCAGUUCAUCUUCUGGCUAACCUGCUUUAUUCAGCUAGUGUUUUGCCUUCUCCACAUCUACCAGCUCGUCUUUUUUUGCGUCGUGUUCUGUAGCAGAAUGAAAUGAGCCUGAGACAAAAUAUCAAAUGUGGUCAUGUCAGUCAGCUUCCAAUUGUCAAAAGUACAACAAAUGGAUACUCAGAAUUGACCAGAAAACAGUUGCUUGUGAGCUGAACCUGAUUGUAAGAGAUUAGAGAGAAUACCUGACUGUAACCUGCGGAGACACUUCUCUUGAUCCUAAGCAUUUCUCUGUGUCUUCUUUCCCACGUUGCACCUAAGACUCAUGUUACUUGGUGUAACAGAAACUUCCAAACCAGCUUCUUCCUCUUACAUAUUAAAUUACACCAAACUUAUAUAAUUAAUCACACUGAUAUAUAUAUAUAUAUCCCAUUGUAUACACUGAAAAACUAAGCUGGAUUCAUUAGAUUCUCUGACUCCAAGUGACAACAACAAAGGGAAGACAGAAGAUAGAUAGUCAUAUAUUAUAGAUUAUAAUGAAAUUUGUAUACGUACCUUUCUUUGUUUUUCUUGUUGGUUCGCAGCUGCACCAACUUUUAAUCUGGCCUCCUCUUCCACACAUGCGUCACAUACUUUAUAUAUGCAAUGAGUAAUGCCACAACCAUUCUAUCACAAUAGAUAACGGAAAAUUCAUAUGGAACCAAAUAAAUCCAUACAAACCAGCUAUAGAAUAAGAGACAAUUGAGACAAAAAGGAAAAAAAGAGUAACACAAUCAAUGUAUAGUUUCAAGACUUUUGUCUACUAAAAGCUGAUUAAAAAUGCAACGUUACCUUUUUCUAGAGAGAGCUUAGACCUCUCCUUUCUUUUUGUUUCAUAGCUAAUUUGUUAAUGCAUCUCAAUUCGACUAUGGGAUCAUCAAAACAGAUGGAAACUUUGUUAAAGAAUAACUUCUCUACAAUGAACCAGUAGAAAUGCAGUACAGAAAAUGGAUCAUACCUCAUAGUCGUCUCUGAAGAUGCAACCCUUGGCCUAAAUAAUUGCGACUUGUGAAAUGCCUAGAAGCUCAAAUAUCAAAAUAUGUCAGAGAUCUUUAAGCUGGGACUGAAGAAUAUUACACUUCAUGAGAUAUUUGGGGUUUCUGAAUUUGCUUUGUCUGCGUCCAUUAUCGUUGUGAGAAGAGAAAUAAUAGAUAUGCGAAUCAGUUUCUUGUAGCUCCUCGAAGACAGGAACAUAAGAAGCAUUAAACCAUUUGAAAUCCUCAAAUAUAUGAAUCUCAAUAGUGACUCCUGACGUUGUCUAGCGAACCAUUACUUCAUUGCCGCAUUAGUGGAUCUCGUUAGUGAGAAGAUGAAAGAUGACUCUCCUGGGGGCCUUGGAGUUGAGAGCAGUGGAAAUGACCACAACUGAAGUAGCAACAAAGUUAUUAGAGAAGAGACAAAGAUUGUUAUAUGUGAGUUUGGAAACCACAUCGUAGCUUCUUUCCAUGAGCUUUGAAUGUAGGUGGUGAGAGGAACACCAAGGCAGUAGAGACUGUUUGGCCCUUUCUUGGCAGCAAUCUGGGCAUACUUGGAGCUCUAUGCGGUAACAUAACACAUCUGUCCUUCGAGCGACUAAAUAGUGGCCUUGAGACUCAUGAUCAUGGUGGCGCUGUCACACUUCAUCACAUCCUAUAUUAUAGUGCCAAACUUCAGAUUCAUAGCUGUCCUGUGUGAUGCCUCUCUUACUGAUAUCUUGAUAACCUUCAGUGAAUGUGACAGUGUCUGGUUGGUCCUCAAAACAGUCUGACUCAAGGUCAAUGCAUCCAAUUUUCAUUCCAACCUCAUGCUCAAGGAUAAAAUUCCCAUUAUCCUAUACACCAACUGUAAAGAACGACAAAAACAAAAAUAAAUCAAAUAAGCAUGAAAUCAUCAAAACCCUGUUGAGAAAGAUGUUAUAAGUCAAACUAUUGACCAAAUCAGAUUGUAGUGAAAAUGCUUUAGUUAUUGAAUUCUAGAGAGGACGGGUAAAGAGCUUCUGGUUGUUCCACAAUCAUUAGACAGAGGCUAAGAAACAAAAUUAGAACUUUUUGAUAGUUUUAGUUUUAAGGAAUCAGACCUGCAAUACAGAUCCAAGCUUUGAGUUAGCCAUAUAGGCCAGAGAUCCGAGAAAGCUACCCAAAAAAAAUUUCUUAAGAGUAAGACCUUAUGCUAAUCUGAAAAUAAAAAUUGCAGGGACAAAUCAUUCAACGUAGUAAGACUCUGCGAAUGAUCUUUCGUAAAAAAAAGAGUUAUAUUCAGAGAUUUUUCUGAAACUUACUCACGAAAAACAUUUUCAGACCUGGUGUGCUCCUUCAAAGUAAACUCACAAAGGUAGAGAGCUAACAAUCGCCAUAGCUUGAGAUUCUUGAAAGCAGGUUUCUGAGUUUGGUCCAAAGUAAAUCUCUACGAAGAGAUGGGAGCAUUUUAUAUAUGAGGAGAAAGAGAGGAAGGUAAAACAAACAAUAAAGAUGAGAUUUAAUAGCGUCAUUGAUUGAUGAAGAGGAGGAAGCAGCCACAGAGUUACUAUCGCAACUGGUGAAGAAGAAGCUUAAGAGUCGGGAUAGGGAAGAUGAGCUCCACGCUCACACGAAAUUCUAGGCGAAGCAUUAACGGGCUUGAACUGGCCAUUUCUGUAGUUUAUCUUUGGACAGCCCAAACGAAGACUCAAUUUCUCUCUUUUUUCGACAGAAACCAUUAUGACGUGGCAAAACAAAAUUUUACUAUUGGUUGAUUUUUUAUAGUGACGUGGAUAGCUUUAGAGUGGAGGAUAUUCCCCUUUUAGUAUUGUCCUCAAAACAGUCUGACUCAAGGUCAAUGCAUCCAAUUUUCAUUCCAACCUCAUGCUCAAGGAUAAAAUUCCCAUUAUCCUAUACACCAACUGUAAAGAACGACAAAAACAAAAAUAAAUCAAAUAAGCAUGAAAUCAUCAAAACCCUGUUGAGAAAGAUGUUAUAAGUCAAACUAUUGACCAAAUCAGAUUGUAGUGAAAAUGCUUUAGUUAUUGAAUUCUAGAGAGGACGGGUAAAGAGCUUCUGGUUGUUCCACAAUCAUUAGACAGAGGCUAAGAAACAAAAUUAGAACUUUUUGAUAGUUUUAGUUUUAAGGAAUCAGACCUGCAAUACAGAUCCAAGCUUUGAGUUAGCCAUAUAGGCCAGAGAUCCGAGAAAGCUACCCAAAAAAAAUUUCUUAAGAGUAAGACCUUAUGCUAAUCUGAAAAUAAAAAUUGCAGGGACAAAUCAUUCAACGUAGUAAGACUCUGCGAAUGAUCUUUCGUAAAAAAAAGAGUUAUAUUCAGAGAUUUUUCUGAAACUUACUCACGAAAAACAUUUUCAGACCUGGUGUGCUCCUUCAAAGUAAACUCACAAAGGUAGAGAGCUAACAAUCGCCAUAGCUUGAGAUUCUUGAAAGCAGGUUUCUGAGUUUGGUCCAAAGUAAAUCUCUACGAAGAGAUGGGAGCAUUUUAUAUAUGACGAGAAAGAGAGGAAGGUAAAACAAAACAAUAAAGAUGAGAUUUAAUAGCGUCAUUGAUUGAUGAAGAGGAGGAAGCAGCCACAGAGUUACUAUCGCAACUGGUGAAGAAGAAGCUUAAGAGUCGGGAUAGGGAAGAUGAGCUCCACGCUCACACGAAAUUCUAGGCGAAGCAUUAACGGGCUUGAACUGGCCAUUUCUGUAGUUUAUCUUUGGACAGCCCAAACGAAGACUCAAUUUCUCUCUUUUUUCGACAGAAACCAUUAUGACGUGGCAAAACAAAAUUUCACUAUUGGUUGAUUUUUUAUAGUGACGUGGAUAGCUUUAGAGUGGAGGAUAUUCCCCUUUUAGUAUUGUUAGAUUAAGCUGAGCAUAAAAUACAUGGAACACUAACAAAAUUAUAACAUGAGUAUCUUUUAAACUUUUUUAAACAAAUUACCAACCAACAAUUUUCCCUCCAUUAAAAUUUACCUCUGGAUUCACGUCUAAUUAAAUUUAUAUAUCAAACACUAUACAAUGUAGACCUUUCUUCAAUUUUUUUUUUUUUAAUGUUAUGUUAUAGCCACAAUAGUAAAUACGUAUCCACUGCUACAAAGGGAAUUACCAUUCUUUUAUUCAUGUCUUUAACUUUGGAGGCUUUCAAGCUCUGUUCUUAAUAUUAUCAAUACAUAUAUAUGGAAUCGCCUGAAAGUUCAAAACGCCACCUUCAAAGCAAUUUUAUUUAGUCGUCCUCUUCCAUAGUCUGCAUCUUUAACGAUAUUUUGUGAAAGUAAUCCCCCUGAAACUCGAAACAAACCAUGCUUAAUAGGAAUGAUGUCAAGAAAGCAAGCAUGAAGCUUAAAAUUUUCCACAGCACCGUUCUACCAUCCAUCAUCCCGCUGCUUUCACCAGUGUAGGCAAAAAUAGAAUGAAGAAGAGGAAAGUGAAACCUGGUUUAUAGCAGUGUUGAAUAUUAACUCCUCGAAGCUGACAGCAAUUCUCCUGAGCUCCUCAACUCCUUCUUGCCCCGAAUACGGAACAUGUUUCUCCAGAGUUUCCAUUCUGCUCAAAUGACAAAAAAAGUAUGGGCAACGCACUAUGACAAAAUGUUAUAACAUUAUGUUUCCUACAGAUAUAUAUUACCGAACUUACAACUUGUCAACAUUCUUCUGGCGUGAAUCCGGUGGCAGUUGAGCUCUCCAGUCACCUGAGUUCAUGGCAGGUUCUUCGUUCAGGAGAAAACGCUCUACAUUAAUCAUGAGAUUGUCUGUGGAAUAUUCACAAAAGCAUCAAAGGGUAGAUCUUAUUAUAGCUCCAUAAGAAAAACAAAACACAUAACAAACCAAAUGGAAUAUAUUUCAAAUGAAGGCACGGAGAACAACAACGAAACCACAAAGAUGGAUAACAAUUAACCGCUGAAACUUCAUAUUAGGUGCCUAUUGUGUUAGAUUAGCUCACACACAAGGAGAAUGCAUUAUCUAGCACACAUCAAAACCAGCUUCUGCUAGUAAAUGAAGGACGUUGCUUACCCAGUUGAUCAUCCAAGGCUGGGUUGUUACUAUCAGCAGGGAUAGAAGGAGAGGAACCAGCUGCGUUCUGAUCUUUAGUCUCCAUAAUCAACAUCUUCAAGGAUAUUUUCCGGAGGUAAUCAGUCUGAAAAUUCAAAAUAAUAAGAAAAUCAGAAUCAUGGGCUUUCAUACGUACACCACCGUAUAAUGGGGCUACAAAAAAUCAUAUACUUAUUUUCCAUGUGCAUUUCCCUCGCAAAUCUCUUUAUAAAACAACACUAAAGAAACAAAUAUAGAGAAGGACGUGUGUAUUAUUAUUAUUACCUGGUGAACAGCACUGCUGAAAACUUUAUCCUCGAACCUGGCAGCAAUUCUUUUGAGCUCGUUAAUUCCUUCUGGUUCAGAAAAUGGAAGGUGCUUCUUUAGUGUUUCCAGUCUGCGCAAGUGGCAAGUAACUCAUUGUAAGAACAAUAUAAAAAAAACAGCUUAGAAACCUUCUUUUUUUUUUUUUUUUUUUUUUUUUCUUAGAAACCUUCUUGUUCUAGAGGAUAUAUAUAAAUAGGAAAAUGGAGAUAUGAUGAUGAAGUUACAUCUUGUUGACGAUCUUCUGUCGUGAAUCAGAUGACAAUUGAGUUCCCCAGUCAUUUGUGUCCAUGACAGGUUCCCCGUUAUUAACAGAAGUCCCCAUCAAGAUCAAUACUUUUAUAACUUCAAUUAGAAAGGAAAAAAAAGAGAUUAAAGUGUGAUUAGCUCCAAAAUGUCUUGUAAUUAUGGAGACUUAGAGCACAAGAAAGCAGACUACUGAGUUAAACCUCUGAUCAGUACCAACUUCGUUCACUGAUCGGUUGAAAUAAUCAAAAUUCGUAUAUUCUCCUACUUGUACAAGGAAAAAAAAAGCGAGCCACAAUACUUUUCUUGCUUCCUGACCACAAGAAGAAAAACAAAACCCUAAAAUCAAAGAUUUUUGAAAAAUCGAGAAAACAAAUCACCUCAGAUUUGCUGCAAGAGCUGGGUUGAGGGUUGCGACGAGCAGAGACCUAGACCAAGACCAAGAGCUUGCUUUGAACAUAAGUGUAAACAGAAAACUGAAUAUGUAAUGAAUUUUUCUGAGAAAAAAUGUUACAUGGGGACCCACUGAAAUUUGAUUAGUAAGAAUUAGGCCUGGAAUUAUUAUCCGAGAUCCGGAUUUGUUCCAAAAUUUCGCUCCGGAUCCGCUCUGAAAUAUGAUAUUUGGAAUGUCCGAAUCCGGAUACUAAAAUCUCGGAUCCGUCAAAACCGAAUCAGGAUAUCUUGAUUUUUAGAUCCGGAUAUCCGAAUCCGUACUUUAAUUUUUUUAAAAAAAUUUUAUUGAUAAUUAUAUUGAUAUAUUAAUAUUUAUAGAUAAAAUUAGUUUUUCUAAUAUUAUAUUUUAAUUUUUAAUAUUAUAUACAUAGAUAUAUAUAUUUAUAAAUCUUGUAUAAAUAUUUAAUUUAUGUAUUAUUUUUAAAAAUUCAAAUAUUUAAAAAAAUAUUUUUAUUCCUUUAUAUAUUUUUACAAAUUCGGAUGCGGAUCUGGAUACCCGCGGAUAAUGCGAUAUCUAGACGGAUAUUCGGAAUCCAGAUAUUCGGAAGCCACAAAUCUGGAUCUGAAAACUAAACCCACAGAUCCGAUGAAUCUUGAUCCGGAUACCUUAAUUUUCCCAGAUAUUUCUCUUUUGUAUUUUGAUUAGAUUGUUUUAACUGAAUACUAGUUCUCCACCCGCACAACUGUGCGGGAAUUAUUUCAUUUUUACAUACAUAAUUAUUCAUUUUACAUGAUUAAUUGUAAUAUUUACCAUAUUACUAAUUUUCUGAUAUAAAAUUUUAAAACACAACAAUUUUAUAGUUCACAUGCAAAUAAUUUGAUUUAUCUAUUUUAAAUUUUUAGUAAUAUCAUAUUUUAAAUUAUGUGAUACAAAAUUUUAAAUUAAAAAUUUUUAUUGGUUAAAGAUCAAAAAGUAUUGAAAAUAUCAUAUUAAAUUAAUAUUGCAGUUUAAUACAGAAUUGUAUAUAAGUUUAAUUGUAAUUACAAAAUUAAUUAGAUAAUUUAAAAUUUUAGUUAAAAUGAAAUAUGAAUUUAACUUUAAAAUAAACAUGCGCGACAUUAACUAAAUAUUUUAAAGUUUUAAAGUGAAAAAUGAAAUAUAUAUUUAUUAUAAAUACACACGAAAUUGAUUAGUUAAAUAUUUAAAAGUUUAUUUAAUCAAAAAAUGGAGUAUAUAUUUAUAUUUUAAAUAAAAAGAUAUGAAAAUAUUUUAUUCAGAUAUAAUUUCAGAGUAAAUAUAGGAAUAUCUAUUUGAUUUUGUUUUAGCAUAGUUAAAAUAAUUUAAAUAGUUAUACACAAAUGAAUUGAAAAAACUUUCUAAGACGUGGUCCAAAUAAAAAAAUCACACAUGAACUGAGUCAUGACUUCUAUUUUAAUAGAAUAGAUGGAAUUAUGUAUCUUGAUCAAUGGAUUUCUAUUGUAUUAUUAGAUGUUAUAGUAUUUAUUGUUGACAAAAAAAAAUAUGUUAUAGUAUUUAUUAAAACCUAUUAAAAUUGUGCUUAAAAGACAUGGAACAAUAACAAAAUGUCACUUCACUUAUGUAAUGUUUUUUUAUCUGGAAUAUCCAGUGGAUUGAGAUCCAACCGACUUAUUCCAGAGAUCUAUUUACCAGUGCCAGACAGAUCCAAUUGCUUGCAAAAGAGAUUAGAUACCCCUUUUCACUUGGCCAAACGAACUAAUAGUCUAAGUGUGAGGUUUCGAACCCGGAUCUUUAGAAACUUUCCGAUCCGCUUUCGUCACUCGACACUUGGUUCACUUAGCUAAUGUUUCAACGUAUGAACAACUUAUUAGUUUAUUUCUAACAUAUUUUAAGGAUUAUGCUUAAAAUUUACUUCUGGAUCAGCCUCUAAUAAAAUUUAGAUACUAAAUGUAAAUCAAAGAUUAUUUAGUGUAUCUCCUUAUUCAUUUCUUAAAAAAAAAUUAAAUGUCCUGUUUAAAUCAACUGCUACAAAAAAAAUAUUUUUGAUUCUACACCAAUUAAAUAAACUUCCUUUUAAGGAUUUCUCUUAAAGAAAGGAUAAAGAUGCGUUUGAUAAAAAUCCCUCCAAGUUUAUUCAUGCCUUGAACUUUGGAGGUUCAAGGCCUUCAGGGUCAUAGAUAUAUGGAAUUGCCUGAAAGCUUCAAACGCAAUUUGACUUAGUCGCUCUCUUUCGUACUCUGGAUCUUGAAGGAUAUUUUGCGAAAAUAAUCCACCUGAAACUCGAAAUAAACAGAGAAAAUAUCAAACCAGAAGGAGUUGAUAUCAAGGUUCAUACAAAGUACAAACGAAUCAGAAGUUUUGGUUUGUAAUCCAUAGACAGUGGUGAAAUUGAAUAUCUAGAACCAAUCGUUACGCAUGAAAUUCAUUCCACCGUUCUACCAAUAUUACAAGAUAAAAAAAAGAUGAAACCUGAUCAAUAGCAGUGUUGAAAAUCAACUCCUCAAAGCUGACAGCAAUCCUCUUGAGCUCUUUGUUUCCUUCUUUCCCACAGUUUGGAACAUGUUCUUUUAGUGUUCCCUUUCUACUCAAAUGAUAAACAGUUUAACCGUACACAAACAUAUUUAGCAGUAAGCUAGCUCUGAAGUGAGCAAAGAUGACAGUUCUGGAGAGAAUGUAUAAUGAACUUACAUUUUGUUGGCAUUCUUCUUGCGUGAAUCUGGUGGUAGACAAGUUCUCCAGUCACCUGUGUUCACGGGGCCUUCGAUUGUCAUCUGAUGACAACCUAUAUAUACAAGUCCACAAGACGACUAACAAUGAAUUGUGAUGAUACUUCAAACAAGCCCAAAAUUUUCAUAUACACACCAAUAAAAGCAUUUGCUAGCAUAUACAUCUAAGCUUGUUGCAUGAAGAGAUCAAUGCGUUAAAUUUAUACACACCAAUAAAAGCAUCUGCUACUACAUGCAUGAAGGGCAUAUACCUGGAUUAAAGUGUAGACUCUUAUAAGCACCAGCGAUAGGUAAAAUCGUAGAAGAACGAGCCGCAGUUUGAUAUCUAGUCUCCAUAGUUAGCAUCUUCAUGGAUAUUGACCGGAGGUACCCAGUCUGAAAAUUCGGGAUUAAAAGAAGAUAAGGAUCAUGUAUACAUGGCUUUCAUACACCACCGUGCAUGUGCAUUCCCCUCACAGAUCUCUAGAUAAAACCACACUAGCGAAACAAAUAUAAAAAGGAGGACGUGUGCAUUACGUGAUUAACAGCACUCCUGAAAAUUUUCUCCUCGAACUUGACAGCAAUUCUCCUGACUUCUUCUGGUGAAGAAUAUGGAAUGUGCUUCUGUAGUGUUUCUGUUCUGCGCAAAACACAAUGAUUUGGUCAAGUGAAUUAUAAGUACAUGAACUUCUGGUAUAAGACAAAGCCAAUAGCUAGAGUGGGAAAAGAAUAAAGAUAAUAACACCAGGUUAUAUUAAUUAAACUUACAUCUUGUUGACAACCCUCUCGCGUGAAUCAGGUUUCAGUUGAGUUCUCCAGUCAUAUGUGGUCAUGGCAGGUUCUCUGCUUGGAAGAGAAGGCCCCGUCAUGUAUUGUACACUUGUAUAACUCCAAUUAAAAUAAACAAAAAAGUGUGAAUAUCACAAUAAAUGUCUCCUAAUGUCUCUAGUCAGAUGGAAGCUGAAGUUUGAUAUCCGAGAGAGGGAGAGAGAGUAAAUACUAUGGAAAAAUAAACUAUGAAGUUUGUAAAACUCGAAUAAACCAGCACCAGUUUCGUUCACUGAUCGUCCAAAAACAAGUUGAUUGACUUUCCUAGUUAUUAUUAUUACAAGAAUGUGUGUAAUGAACUUUUCUAUUAAUGAACUUACGUCGUGUUGGCAUUAUUUUGGCGUGGAUCCGAUGGCAGUUGAGUUGUCAAGUCACAUGUGUUCACUGCAGCUUCUGCUCUCGUAAGCAAAGGCUUUGAAUUAACAUUAUCUAUAAGAUGACAUGUGUUCACAAAACAUCAAGAAUAGAUUCGUAACUCCACAAAGAAAUGAAUUAGAUAUAUCACACCAAAACAAGCUUCUGCUACUACAUGCAUGAAGGACUUAUACCCGUUUUCAAGGGUAGUUUCUUGCUAGCCUCAGGGACAGAAAACGAAGAAGAAGAAGAAGAACCAGCUGCAUCUUGCCAUUUAGUCUCCAUAGUCACCAUCUUCAUGGAUAUUUUCCGAAGGUAAUCAGUCUAAAAUUCCCAAACAAAAGAUGAUCAGCAUCAUUUAUAUAUAUAUACAUGCUUCAUACACCGUAUAUUAGAACUAGUUAUAUAAGCCUUCAAGGCGUCAAAAAUUUAAUCUUUUUUGCCAUGUUCAUUGCCUCGCAAAUAUAUAUAAAGAAAAACCAUACCGAAGAAACAAAUGUAGAGGAUGGAGUUUUACCUGGUCAACAGCGCCUCUGAAAAUUUCAUCCUCGAACGUCGCAGCAAUUGUCCCGGCCUCGUUCAUUCCCUUCGCUCCAUAAAAUGGAAGGUGUUUCAUCAGUUUCUCCGUUCUGUGCAAGUUGCAAGUUGAAUGAGUGAAGCAAUCAAAAACAGUUAAUAGUAUUACUCAGUGAAAACCUUUGUAGAGGAAGUAUAACAUCAGGUUAUAUUAAUUAAACUUACAUAUUGUUGGCGAUCUUCUGGCGUGAAUCAGGUGUUAAAUGAGCUCUCCAGUCAUCUGUGCCCAUGUCAGGCUCUCUUUUUGGAAGAGCAAGUCUCCAAUUGUUAUUAUCCAUCAAGUAACCUACGUUUACAAGCCAUCAAAAGCAAAGUAUCAAGCGUAAGUAUAAUUAUCAUAACUCAAUGAAAACAGAGAAGAAACCAAAAACAUGACCAAGAAUUCUACAGGAAAAAAACGAUCAUACAACAUCUGGAUUAUAUUUACACUCAGAAGUACGCAAUGGAUUUAUAUGAUGAGUAUGAAAAAACUCGUUAGAGGAAUGAAUCCACCGAGGUAUGUACAACUUGUUCUCUCUCUCUCUUUUUGUUACAGAACCAUUUCAAUAAUCAUCUCUGAUAUGAUCAACGCCAGUUUUUUUUAUCUAUUCUCAUUGAACAGUUCCACCUAUUCUCCUAACUGUUAUUAGAAAAAAGUAGAUCAUCCAUCGACAGCAACUUCAACGGAGAGACAAUAUUUCACUCAUAGAAGAAGAAAAUUCAAUAACCUCACCUCAAAUCCAGAGCCUAUGGACAAGAUUUGUGUGGGGGUCAAGGUUUGCGACGAGAUUAGAGACAAAACCGAAAAUGGAGAAAAUUCAAGUGAAAACUAGAUUUUCUUAAUCAAACCAAUUCAAAAGUAAUUGGUACACAUGUAGGGCGAAACCAGCCACUUGUAACGUAAAAUAUAGUACGUCCAUUGGAGUAUCGAAGGCAUGAUUAACCCCGGUCUCUUGACCGGAGUUAUUAACUCAUGAUUUGAUUUUUUUUUUGUUUUUUCUUUACAUUUUUGGCUAAGAGACGAUUUUUAUCUAUCUUAUUAAAACUCAAGUACAAAUUAGAUUUGUUUGGAAACAUGUAUAACAAUUUUUUAAAAAAAUUUGUUUGGUAACAUAGAUUGUAGUUUUAAAAAAUGUUUGUUUGGAAAUAUGAAUUGCAAUUUAAAAAAAGAGGUUUGUUUGAAAACAUAGAUUAUAUUUAAUAUAUUAUUUUUAAAAUUUUAAAAUUCAUUAUAUAUUUGUAUACUUUAAAUUUCUCAAAAACUAUAAAAAAUAAUAUAUUAAAUAUAAAUUUGAAUAACAUAUGUCAGAAUACUUAAACUUAACAUAUAAACUAUCUUAGUUCAAAUAUUUGGAUAGAUAAUCAAUAAUUAUUUUAAGUAUUUUUGGUGUUUUAAGUAUACUUUUACUAUUUUAUAUAUUUAGUAUUUAUUAAUUGUAUAUAUUUUCAAGUAUGUAAACCAGCUUAAAAGUAUCAUAUAUAUAUUCUAGAUGUUUUUAUAUAUAUUAAAUCUAAAAAUAGUUAAUAUAUAUAUAUGUAUAAAAAUCUAUUUCAAAUACAUUCGGGUACCCAGAAUACUUCGGUUCGGAUCGGAUUCGGUUUCGGUUCUCCAAAAACCAAAAUUCUGAAUAAUUUGAAUAUUUAUUCAAUUUCGAUUUGGAUUUGGUACUACUUUUUCGGAUCAAAAUCGGUCCGGUUCUUCAGAUUCAGGUAUUUUGCCUAACCUUUAUAUUGUUGACAUGAAAAACAAAUAUAUUUUUGAAAAAUAUAUCCGCGCGGGCACGCGGAUCAAAGUCUAGUAUUUCUUAUUUAAGAGGCGGUUCUUAACUUUUCUUAGCCGAAACUAAGAAUCCCAGCUAAGAAACUGAGUUAAUCAUGAUCUAAUAGACCAUGUUUCUUUUCAAUUUUAAGUGAAAACUAGAUUUUCAUUUUUUUUAUGAAACUGAAUACAUUACCAAGAAAAGUCAAUGUGUAAUGAAAGGGAAGAAGGGGUGAAACAUAACAAGAAUGUACGUUACAGAAGAUUGAAACUAGUAGUCAACCAUUUUUCUUUAAUCAUUUCUUUCAACACAAAAAAAAAUUGUUUUGUUUAAAUCAACUGCUACAAAAAAAAUAGUUCUGAUUCUUCACCAACUAAAUACACGUUCGUUUUCCUUGUUGAGGAUUUCGGAUGCGUUAGAUAAAUCCAUCCAUGUUUAUUCAUGCGACCAACUCUGGAGGUUUCUGUUGGAACUCGUUAUUGAUAAAGUGGUGUGGACUAUUUCUCCGAUGGGUUUUUCGACGGAAACAUUUGUCAGAAGAACCGGAUUUGGGCACGAUGUAAUCGUCACUGUGAACACUAUAAAUUAGUGUGUUUGAUUGUCAAAAUUGGAGUUGUGUUGAAUGAGAAAUGAAAGUCUAAAAUGAAUGACAUGCAAAGUCUAUAAAACUUUAAAUUUGGCUAAAUAGAAAAAAAUUAGCAAAUGAGUCAUUUUUGGAUGUAUGGGUUUAAAUUUUAAUAUAUACAUAAAUAUUUUAUGUUUAUUUGAGCAUGAAAAAUAUAUACCCAUACAAAGUAUUUUUGGUUUGAAUUGAUUUGGUCAAAACCAAUUACUACUUGCCAAACGUGAGUAAUGGAGAAUCAAAUAUAUUACUAGGGAUUAAUCCGGGCUACGCCCGGGAUUUUUAAUUUUUUCUAAUUUAAGUUGUUAAAUUAUUUAUAUUUAGGUUAUGAUAUAUAUUUAUAUAAAUGUUAAGAUGCAUGUCAUAAUUAAAAUUUAUUUUUUAAUUUUAACACAUUAAAUUAACAUAUUUUUUACUAUUUAAAUAUUUUUUUGUAAUUUUGUUGGCUAUCUAGUUAUCAGAUUUAGCAAAACUAUCUGUUAAAUGUUGGAAUAAAUGUUUUAGAUAUUUAAUUAAACUGCAGAGUAUUUUCGGAUCGACCACAUGCUCAACAAUCGAUCGAUCCGUAAAAAGAUGGUCGAUCUCCUUGGCCAGGUAAGUACAAUUUUAGCAAAAAUAUCUUUGAUUUUCAAAUAUUAAGUAUAUAACUAUUCUUUUGAAUAUUGUUUUUUUGAAUAUUUUUUUGAUUAAAUUAUUGUAUUAUAAUGUUUAUGUAAAUAUUUUUUGUGAUGUUUGAAUUUGUGUUGUUCUUAUAAUUAACCUAGAUGAUAUAGAUGUUUAACAAUUUAUUGUUUUCUGGAAAUAGAAAAUAAUGAUUUAUCAAAACGUAUCUAAUACUUGUUAAAUGAUAGUAUAAUGUAAAUUACAUCCAUUAUUUGAAAAUAACCAUUUGUUGUUUUUACUUUUUUUUUAAAUCAGAAAUUAUUUUUAUUUUAAAACAUUAUUCAUAUAUAAUAUAAUAGUUUAAGUUUGGAAGAUUAAUCUAUAUAUAUAAAUUAUGUAUAUUUAAAAAAAUUUAAGAUAUUAUAUAUUGAGUAACUAAAUAAAAGCUGAAUUUCUUAUCUUGAAAAUCAAAUAUUUUUAUUUUUUGUCUUCAUGUUAUACUCACCAAUCCAUCAUUGAUAUUUAUAACUCAGUAUGUUUUUAAAAAAAACUUAGUUUUAAAUAAUAAACGAAUUUAAUAAUUUAAAUUCAUCACAUAUAAUGUUCUGUAAACUAUAUUUGAAAACUUUCUAAAAUUAUAUUUUAAGCAUAAUAUUAUUAUUAUUUAAUUUAAGUUAUUUUAAGCAUAAUAUAUGCUAAACCAACUUAAAUUAUAUUUACAAUAGGACCAUCCUAAACCGGUUAAUAAACCUAAAACAAUACUAAACCAACAUGAACUAAUACCUGAUUCGGCGAGGAAGGAAAUGUUUCGGGAUAAACGCUUGAAUGGUUAUUAACUGUGAUGGUUUGAUCAUGAAAGAGUAAGUAUGAAUAUUAACAAUAAAAUUAUGAAUUAGAUUAAUUUAAAUUUGUAAGAAUACCUUUGAGUUUAUGAAAAGCAAGUCAAUUCUCAUGAAUAAGUUUGGCUUUUGGAAGUUGCGGGUUUCCCAACAAUGAAUCCACCUAACAAAAAGUUCGUUGUUAUAGAAAAUCUCCUUCAAGGUCAUUAAAGGUUUUUGGGAUGGCAAGAGUUGAUAGUGGAACCAUUUUUUUGCUCGAGCGCUUUCAAAUUUUCCUUGAUAGUGUGAGGUUGAUGGUGAUGGAAUAAUGAGGUUUAUAGGGAUUUUUUUGAUGUAAAACUAUACAUUUUUAUUUUUUUUGUUUCAUGUGGUAUUUCCAUUUUUAUAUAAUUUACUACUAUUUUAAGAUAGAUUUACAUUUUAAGAUAUAUGUUUUAAAUCUUAAGGUACUUUUUCUAUUUUUUUAAUAUUUAUUUCCAUUUCUUAUAUUUUUUAGUUACGUAAUAUCUAUAUUUUAUAUUUUAAAAUAAAUAUUUAAAUCUUAAUGUACUUUUUCCAUUAUUUUUUAAUUGUGUAUUUACUUAUAUUAUAUAUUUACAUUUUAAGAUAGAUAUUUAAUGCUUAAUGAACCUUUUCUAUUUUUUAAAAAAAUUGUGUAUUUACUUAUUAUUAUAUAUAUAAUUCAUAUAUUACAUUUACCUUAUUUACUUAUUAUUUAUUUUCCUGUAUAUGUAUUUCCAUUUUUGUACUUUUUAUUUACUUAAUAUCUCUAUUUUACAUUUUAAGAUAGAUGUUUAAAUCUUAAUGUACGUUUUCCAUUUUUUUUAAUUGUAUAUUUCCAUUUGUUAUACUUUCUAUUUACGUAAUAUCUAUAUUUUAAAUUUUAAGAUAUAUUUUUAAAUCUUAAUGUAAUGUUCCAUUUUUAAAUUGGGUAUUUACUUAUACUAUAUAUUUACUUAGUAUUUAUAUUUCUUUAUUGUGUAUUUCUAUUUCUUAUACUUUCUAUUUACUAAUAAUUUUAUAUUUUAAGAUAGAUUUACAUUUUAAGAUAGAUUUUUAAAUACUAAUGUACUUUUUGCAUUUUUUUAAAUUGUGUAUUUUUUUUUCUUAUACUUUUUAUUUGCGUAAUAUCUAUAUUUUACAUUUUAAGAUAGAUGUUUAAAUCUUAAUAUACUUUUUCCAUUGUUUUUAAGUUGUGUAUUUCUUUUUCUUAUACUUUCUAUUUACUUAAUAUCUAUAUUUUACAUUUUAAGAUAGAUGUUUAAUAUUUAAUGAACUCUUUCCAUUUUGUAAAAAUUGUGCAUUUACUUAUUAUUGUAUAUAUAAUUUGUAUAUUUAUAUAUUUAUAAUAUUUACUUAUUAUUUACUUUUCUAUAUAUUGAGUAUUUCUCUUUCUUAUACUUUAUAUUUAGUUAAUAUCUAUAUUUUACAUUUUAAGAUAGAUGUUUAAAUACUAAUGUACUUUUUCCAUUUUUUUUAAAUUGUGUAUUUCCUUUUCUUAUACUUUCUGUUUGCGUAAUAUCUAUAUCUUACAUUUUAAGAUAGAUAUUUAAAUCUUAAUAUAAUUUUUCUAUUGUUUUUAAGUUGUGUAUUUCUUUGCAGUUUAAUAAAAUCUUAAUGUAAUUUUCUAUUUUUUAAAUUGGGUAUUUACUUAUAUUAUAUAUAGUGUUAUACUUUCUAUUUACGUAAUAUCUAUAUUUUAAAUUUUAAGAUAUAUUUUUAAAUCUUAAUGUAAUUUUCUAUUUUUUAAAUUGGGUAUUUACUUAUAUUAUAUAUUUACUUAUGAUUUAUUUUUCUUUAUAUUGUGUAUUUCUAUUUCUUAUACUUUCUAUUUACUAAUAAUUUUAUAUUUUAAGAUAGAUUUACAUUUUAAGAUAGAUAUUUAAAUACUAAUGUACUUCUUCCAUUUUUUUAAAUUGUGUAUUUCCUUUUCUUAUACUUUCUAUUUGGGUAAUAUCUAAAUUUUACAUUUUAAGAUAGAUGUUUAAAUCUUAAUAUACUUUUUCCAUUGUUUUUAAGUUGUGUAUUUUCUUUUCUCAUAGUUUAUAUUUACUUAAUAUCCAUAUUUUACAUUUUAAGAUAGAUGUUUAAUAUUUAAUGUACUCUUUCCAUUUUUUAGAAAUUAUGCAUUUACUUAUUAUUGUAUAUAUUAUUCGUAUAUUUAUAUAUUUAUAAUAUUUACUUAUUAUUUAUUUUUCGAUAUAUUGAGUAUUUCUCUUUCUUAUACUUUAUAUUUAGUUAAUAUCGAUAUUUUAUAUUUUAAGAUAGAUGUUUAAAUCUUAAUGUAUUUUUCCAUUUUUAAUGUAAAACGGCAAUGUUUAAUACAAGAACUUGGACAAAUAGUCAAAUAGUUAUAUUUAUGUUUUUUUUUCUUUAUUAUAUAAAAUGGUAAUGUUACAUUAUGAAGAUAAGCCAUUUUUUUUAGUGAAAAUGGUAAUCUUACAUAUGUUUAAUGUAGUUUUUCUCUUUUUUUUUAUGUUGUAUGUUUACAUAUUAUUGUUAUUUUUAAAUGUAAAAUGGUAAUCUUACAUAUGCUUAAUGUAUUAUUUCCAUUUUUUAUGUUGUAUGUUUACAUAUUAUUUAUUAUUUUCUAAAUUAUAUAUGGAGAUAAACCGUCUUUUUUUUAGUGAAAAAUGGUAAUUUUACAUAUGUUUAAUGUAGUUUUUCUAUUUUUAUGUUGUAUGUUUACAUUUUAUUUUUUUAAAAUAAAAAUGUAAAAUGAUAAUCUUACAUAUGUUUAAUGUAGUAUUUCCAUUUUUAUGUUGUAUUUUUACAUAUAUUUAUUAUUUUCAAAAUUAUAUAGAAUGUUUUUUGUUUUUUUUUAUAAAACGGUAAUGUUACAUUAUGAAGAUAAGCUGUCUUUUUUUAAAGUGAAAAAUGAUAAUCUUACAUAUUUUUAAUGUAGUUUUUCCAUUUUUUGUGCUGUAUGUUUACAUAUUAUUUAUAAUUUUCAAAAAUUAGUAAAAUUAAAAUGUAAAACUAUAUUUUAUGCAACUUGUCAUCUUUCGAGAGAAGUUUUUUUUGCUGAUGUGGACGCUCUAUGGAGCCUUAAAAGGUCAAUUUUAUUAGUAUCUUUUUUAUAAAACGGUAAUGUUACAUUAUGGAGAUAAACCGUCUUUUUUUUUUAAGUGAAAAAUGGUAAUCUUACAUAUCUUUAAUGUAGUUUUUCCAUUUUUUAUGCUGUAUGUUUACAUAUUAUUUAUAAUUUUCGAAAAUUAGUAAUAUUAAAAUGUAAAACUAUAUUUUAUGUCACGUGUCAUCUUUCGGGAGAAAUUUUUUUGCUGAUGUGGACGCUCUAUGGAGCCUCAAAAGCUCCCUUUUAUUAGUAUAGAUUUUAUUAAAAUGUAAAACUAUAUUUUAUGCCACGUGUCAUCUUUCGGGAGAAGUUUUUUUGCUGAUGUGGACGCUCUAUGGAGCCUCAAAAGGUCCCUUUUAUUAGUAUAGACUAGGGAUUAACCCGGGCUACGCCCGGGAUUUUUAUUUUUUUAUAUUUAAGUUGUUAAAUUAUUUAUAUUUAGGCUAUGAUAUAUAUUUAUAUAAAUGUUAAAAUGCCUGUCAUAAUUAAAAUUUAUUUUUAAAUUUCAACACGUUAAAUUAACAUAUUUUUUACUAUUUAAAUAUUUUUUUGUAAUUUUAUUGGCUAUCUAGUUAUCAUAUUUAGCAAAACUAUCUUUUGAGUGUUGGAAUAAAUGUUUUAGAGAUUUUAUUAAACUGCAGAGUAUUUUCGGAUUUCCUUGGCCAGGUAAGUACAGUUUUAGCAAAAAUAUCUUUUAUUUUCAAAUAUUAAGUAUAUAACUAUUCUUUUUAAUAUUUUUUUAUUGUAUUUUGAUUAAAUUAUUGUAUUAUAAUGGUUAUGUAAAUAUUUUUUGUGAUGUUUGAAUUUGUGUUGUUCGUAUACUUAACCUAGAUGAUAUUGAUGUUUAACAAUUUAUUGUUUUCUGAAAAUAGAAAAUAUUGAUAUAUCAAAACGCAUCGAAUACUUGUUAAAUGAUAGUAUAAUGUAAAUUACAUCCAUUAUUUGAAAAUAACCAUUUGUUGUUUUUAUUUUAUUUUAAAUCAAAAAUUAUUUUAUUUAAAAACAUUAUUCAUAUAUAAUAUAAUAGUUUAAGUUUGGAAGAUUAAUAUAUAUAUAUAUAAAUUAUGUAUAUUUUUCCAAAAAUAGUUUAAGAUAUUAUAUAUUGAGUAUCUGAAUAAAAGCUAAAUUUCUUAUCUUGAAAAUCAGAUAUUUAUAUUUUUGUCUUCAUGUUAUACUCACCAAUCCAUCAUUGAUAUUUAUAACUCAGUAUGUUUUUUAAAAAACUUAGUUUUAAGUAAUAAACGAAUUUAAAAAAUUAAAUUCAUCACCUAUAAUGUUCUGUAAACUAUAUUUGAAAACUCUCUAAAAUUAUAUUUUAAGCAUAAUAUUAUUAUUAUUUAAUUUAAGUUAUUUUAAACAUAAUAUAUGCUAAACCAACUUAAAUUAUAUUUACAAUAGGACCAUCCUAAACCGGUUAGUAAACCAAAAACGAUAUUAAACCAACAUGAACCAAUACCUGAUUCGGCGAGGAAGGAAGUGUUUCGGGAUAAACGCUUGAAUGGUUUUUAACUGAAAUGGUUUGAUCAUGAAAGAGUUAGUAUGAAUAUUAACAAUAAAAUUAUGGAUUAGAUUAAUUUAAAUUUGUAAGAAUACCUUUGAGUCUAUGAAAAGCAAUUCAAUUCCCAUGAAUAAGUUUGACUUUUGGAAGUUACGGGUUUCCCAACAAUGAAUCCACCUUACAAAAAGUUUGUUGUUAUAAAAAAAUAUCAUUCAAGGUCAUUAAAGGUUUCUGGGACGGCAAGAGUUGAUGGUGAAACCAUUUUUUUGCUCGAGUGCUUUGAAAUUUUCCUUAAUAGUGUGAGGCUGAUGUGGAUGGAAUAAUAAAUUUUAUAGGGAUUUUCUUGAUGUAACACUAUACAUUUUUUUUUUGUUUAAUGUGGUAUUUUCAUUUUUUAUAUAAUUUACUACCAUUUUAAGAUAGAAGUAUAUUUUAAGAUAGAUGCUUAAAUCUUAAUAUAUUUUUUUCAUUUUUUAAAAUGUUUAUUUCUAUUGCUUAUAUUUUUAUUUACGUAAUAUCUAUAUUUUAUAUUGUAAAAUAGAUAUUUAAAUAUUAAUGUACUUUUUUCCAUUUUUUAAAUUGUGUAUUUACUUCUAUUAUAUAUUUUACAUUUUAAGAUAGAUGCUUAAUGCUUGAUGAACUUUUUCCAUUUUUAAAAAAAUUGUGUAUUUACUUAUUAUUACAUAUAUAAUUCAUAUAUUAUAUAUUUACAUUAUUUACUUAUUAUUUAUUUUCGUGUAUAUGUAUUUCCAUUUAUUGUACUUUUAAUUUACUUAAUAUCUCUAUUUUACAUUUUAAGAUAGAUGUUUAAAUCUUAAUGUACGUUUUCCAUUUUUUUUUUAAAUUGUAUAUUUCCAUUUGUUAUACUUUCUAUUUACGUAAUAUCUAUAUUUUAAAUUUUAAUAUAUAUUUUAAAUCUUAAUGUAAUUUCCCAUUUUUUAAAUUUGGUAUUUACUUAUAUUAUAUAUUUACCUAUUAUUUAUUUUUCUUUAUAUUGUGUAUUUCUAUUCUUUUACUUUCUAUUUACUAAUAAUUUUAUAUUUUAAGAUUGAUUUACAUUUUAAGAUAGAUGUUUAAAUACUAAUGUACUUUUUCUUAUACUUUCUAUUUACUUAAUAUCUAUAUUUUACAUUUUAAGAUAGAUGUUUAAUAUUUAAUGUACUCUUUACAUUUUUUAAAAAUUGUGCAUUUACUUAUUAUUGUAUAUAUAAUUCGUAUAUUUAUAUAUUUAUAAUAUUUAAUAUUAUUUAUAAAAAAUUUUAUGUUGUAUAUUUACAUAUUAUUGUUAUUUUUAAAUGUAAAAUGGCGUCUACAUAUGUUUAAUGUAGUAUUUCCAUUUUUUAUGUUGUAUGUUUUACAUAUAUAUAUUAUUUUCGAAAUUAUAUAUAAUGUUUUUUAUAAAACGGUAAUGUUACAUUAUGGAGAUAAGCCGUCUUUUUUUUAAGUGAAAAAUAGUAAUAUUACAUAUGUUUAAUGUAGUUUUUCCAUUUUUUUAUGCUGUAUGUUUACAUAUUUUUUACAAUUUUCGAAAAUAAGUAGUAUUAAAAUGUAAAACUAUAUUUUAUGCCACGUGUCAUCUUUCGGGAGAAACUUUUUCCGCUGAUGUGGACGCCCUAUGGAGCCUCAAAAGCUCUCUUUUAUUAGUAGAGACUAGGGAUUAACCCGGGCUACGCCCGGGAUUUUUAUUUUUUUCUAAUUUAAGUUUUUAAAUUAUUUAUAUUUAGGUUAUGAUAUAUAUUUUUUAUAAAUCUUAAGAUGUAUGUCAUAAUUAAAAUUUAUUUUAAAUUUUAACACGUUCAAUUAACAUAUUUUUACUAUUUAAAUAUUUUUUUGUAAUUUUGUUGGCUAUCUAAUUAUCAUAUUUAGCAAAACUAUCUGUUGAGUGUUGGAAUAAAUGUUUUAGAUAUUUAAUUAAACUGCAGAGUAUUUUCGGAUCGAUCACAUGCUCAACAAUCGAUCGAUCCGUAAAAAGAUGGUCGAUCUCCUUGGCCAGGUAAGUACAAUUUUAGCAAAAAUAUCUUUGAUUUUCAAAUAUUAAGUAUAUAAGUAUUCUUUUGGAUAUUCUCUUUUUGAAUUGUAUUUUUUGAUUAAAUUAUUGUAUUAUAAUGUUUAUGUAAAUAUUUUUUUGUGAUGUUUGAAUUUGUUUUGUUCGUAUACUUAACCUAGAUGAUAUUGAUGUUUAACAAUUUAUUAUUUUCUAGAAAUAAAAAAUAAUGAUAUAUCAAAACGUAUCUAAUACUUGUUAAAUGAUACUAUAAUGUAAAUUACAUCCAUUAUUUAAAAAUAACCAUUUGUUGUUUUAUUUUUUUUGAAAUCAGAAAUUAUUUUUAUUUAAAAACAUUAUUCAUAUAUAAUAUAAUAGUUUAAGUUUGGAAGAUUAAUAUAUAUAUAUAUGAAUUAUGUGUAUGUUUUAAAAAAUAAUUUAAGAUGUUAUAUAUUGAGUAACUGAAUAAAAUCUGAAUUUCUUAUCUUGAAAAUCAAAUAAUUAUAUUUUUGUCUUCAUGUUAUACUCAUCAAUCCAUCAUUGAUAUUUAUAACUCAGUAUGCUUAAAAAAAACUUAGUUUGAAGUAAUAAAUGAAUUUAAUAAAUUAAAUUCAUCACCUAUAAUGUUCUGUAAACUAUAUUUGAAAACUCUCUACAAUUAUAUUUUAAGCAUAAUUACUAUUAUUUAAUUUAAGUUAUUUUAAGCAUAAUAUAUGCUAAAUCAACUUAAAUUAUAUUUACAAUAGGACCAUCCUAAACCGGUUAAUAAACCAAAAACAAUACUAAACCAACAUGAACUAAUACCUGAUUCGGCGAGGAAAGAAGUGUUCCGUGAUAAACGCUUGAAUGGAUAUUAACUGUAAUGGUUUGAUCAUGAAAGAGUUAGUAUGAAUAUUAACAAUAAAAUUAUGGAUUAGAUUAAUUUAAAUUUGUAAGAAUACCUUUGAGUCUAUGAAAAACAAUUCAAUUCCCAUGAAUAAGUUUGCCCUUUGGAAGUUGCGGGGUUCCCAACAAUGAAUCCACCUAAUAAAAAGUUCGUUCUUAUAAAAAAUGUCCUUCAAGGUCGUUAAAAGUUUUUGGGACGGCAAGAGUUAAUGGUGGAACCAUUUUUUUGCUCGAGUGCUUUGAAGCUUUCCUUGAUAGUGUGAGGUUGAUGUUGAUGGUAUAAUGAGUUUUAUAGGGACUUUCUUGAUGUAAAACUAUACUUUUUUUUAAUGUGGUAUUUCCAUUUUUAUAUAAUUUAUUACCAUUUUAAGAUAGAUGUACAUUUUAAGAGAGAUGUUUAAAUCUUAAUAUACUUUUUCCAUUUUUUAAAAUGUUUAUUUCCAUUUCUUAUUUUUUUUUACGUAAUAUCUAUAUUUUAUAUUUUAAAAUAGAUAUUUAAAUCUUAAUGUACUUUUUCCAUUUUUUUAAAUUGUGUAUUUCCUUAUAUUAUAUAUUUUACAUUUUAAGAUAGAUGAUUAAUGCUUAAUGAACUUUUUCCAUUUUUUAAAUUUUGUUGUGUAUUUACUUAUUAUUAUAUAUAUAAUUCAUAUAUUAUAUAUUUACAUUAUUUACUUAUUAUUUACUUAUUAUUUAUUUUCCUGUAUAUGUAUUUCUAUUUCUUGUACUUUUUAUUUACUUAAUAUCUCUAUUUUACAUUUUAAUAUAGAUGUUUAAAUUUUAAUGUACGUUUUUCAUUUUUUUUUCAUUGUAUAUUUUCAUUUGUUAUACUUUCUAUUUACGUAAUAUCUAUAUUUUAAAUUUUAAGAUAUAUUUUUAAAACUUAAUGUAAUUUUCCAUUUUUUUAAUUGGGUAUUUACUUAUAUUAUAUAUUUACUAAUUUUUUUUAUAUUGUGUAUUUCUAUUUCUUAUACUUUCUAUUUACUAAUAAUUUUAUAUUUUAAGAUAGAUUUACAUUUUAAGAUAGAUGUUUAAAUACUAAUGUACUUUGUCCAUUUUUUAAAUUGUGUAUUUCCUUUUCUUAUACUUUCUAUUUGCGUAAUAUCUAUAUUUUACAUUUUAAGAUGGAUGCUUAAAUCUUAAUAUACUUUUUCCAUUGUUUUUAAGUUGUGUAUUUCUUUUUCUUAUACUUUCUAUUUACUUAAUAUCUAUAUUUUGCAUUUUAAGAUAGAUGUUUAAUAUUUAAUAUACUCUUUCCAUUUCUUAUAAAUUGUGCAUUUACUUAUUAUUGUAUAUAUAAUUUGUAUAUUUAUAAUAUUUACUUAUUAUUUAUUUUUCUAUAUAUUGAGUAUUUCUCUAUCUUAUACUUUAUAUUUAGUUAAUUUAUAUAUUUUAUAUUUUAAGAUAGAUGGUUAAAUCUUAAUGUAUUUUUCCAUUUUUAGUGUAAAGCGGCAAUGUUCAAUAGAAGAACUUGGACAAAUAGUCAAAUAGUUAUAUUUAUGUUUUUUUUCUUUUUUUAUAUAAUGGUAAUGUUACAUUAUGGAGAUAAGCCGUUUUUUUAGUGAAAAUUGUAAGCUUACAUAUGUUUAAUGUAGUUUUUCUAUUUUUUUUAUGUUGUGUGUUUACAUAUUAUUGUUAUUUUUAAAUGUAAAAUGGUAAUCUUACAUAUGUUUAAUGUAGUAUUUCCAUUUUUAAUGUUGUAUGUUUACAUAUUAUUUAUUAUUUUCGAAAUUAUAUAUAAUGUUUUUUUACAAAAUAGUAAUAUUACAUUAUGGAGAUAAUCCGUUUUUUUUUAGUGAAAAAUGGUAAUCUUACAUAUGUUUAAUUAAUGUAGUUUUUCCAUUUUUAUGUUGUAUGUUUACAUAUUAUUAUUUUUAAAUAAAAAUGUAAAAUGGUAAUCUUACAUAUGUUUAAUGUAGUAUUUCUAUUUUUUUAUGUUGUAUGUUUACAUAUAUUUAUUAUUUUUGAAAUUAUAUAUAAUGUUUUUUGUUUUUUUUAUAAAACGGUAAUGUUAUAUUAUGGAGAUAAUCCGUCUUUUUUUUUAAGUGAAAAAUGGUAAUCUUACAUAUGUUUAAUGUAGUUUUUCUAUUUUUUUGUGUUGUAUGUUUACAUAUUAUUUAUAAUUUUCAAAAAUUUGUAAUAUUUUAUGCCACGUGUCAUCUUUCGAGAGAAGUUUUUUUUGCUGAUGUGGACGCUCUAUGGAGCCUCAAAAUGUCCCUUUUAUUAGUAGAGACUAGGGAUUAAUCCGGGCUACGCCCGAGAUUUUUAUUUUUUUCUAAUUUAAGUUGUUAUAUUAUUUAUAUUUAGGUUAUGAUAUAUAUUUAUAUAAAUGUUAAGAUGCAUGUCAUAAUUAAAAUUUAUUUUUAAAUUUUAACACGUUAAAGUAACAUAUUUUUUACUGUUUAAAUAUUUUUUGUAAUUUUGUUGGCUAUCUAGUUAUCAUAUUUAGCAAAACUAUUUGUUGAGUAUUUGAAUAAAUGUUUUAGAUAUUUAAUUAAACUGUAGAGUAUUUUCGGUUCGACCAUAUGCUCAACAAUCUAUUGAUCCGUAAAAAGAUGGACGAUCUCCUUGGCCAGGUAAGUAAAAUUUUAGCAAAAAUAUCUUUGAUUUUCAAAUAUUAAGUAUAUAACUUUUCUUUUGAAUAUUGUUUUUUAAUUGUAUUUUUUGAUUAAAUUAUUGUAUUAUAAUGUUUAUGUAAAUAUUUUUUGUGAUGUUUGAAUUUGUGUUGUUCGUAUACUUAACCUAGAUGAUAUUGAUGUUUAACAAUUUAUUGUUUUCUGGAAAUAGAAAAUAAUGAUAUAUCAAAAAGUAUCUAAUACUUGUUAAAUGAUAGUAUAAUGUAAAUUACAUCCAUUAUUUGAAAAUAACCAUUUGUUGUUUUUAUUUUUUUUAAAUCAGAAAUUAUUUUUAUUUAAAAACAUUAUUCAUAUAUAAUAUAUUAGUUUAAGUUUGGAAGAUUAAUUUAUAUAUAUAAAUUAUGUAUAUUUAAAAAAAAAUUAAGAUAUUAUAUAUUGAGUAACUGAAUAAAAGCUGAAUUUCUUAUCUUGAAAAUCAAAUAUUUAUAUUUUUGUCUUCAUGUUGUACUCAUAUUUAUAACUCAGUAUGUUUUUAAAAAACUUAGUUUUAAGUAAUAAACGAAUUUAAUAAAUUAAAUUCAUCACCUAUAAUGUUCUGUAAACUAUAUUUGAAAACUCUCUAAAAUUAUAUUUUAAGCAUAAUAUUACUAUUAUUUAAUUUAAGUUAUUUUAAGCAUAAUAUAUGCUAAACCAACUUAAAUUAUAUUUACAAUAGGACCAUCCUAAACUGGUUAAUAAACCAAAAACAAUACUAAACCAACAUGAACCAAUACCUGAUUUGGCGAGGAAGGAAGUGUUUCGGGAUAAACGCUUGAAUGAUUAUUAACUGUAAUGGUUUGAUCAUGAAAGAGUUAGUACGAAUAUUAACAGUAAAAUUAUGGAUUUGAUUAAUUUAAAUUUGUAAGAAUACCUUUGAAUCUAUGAAAAGCAAUUCAAUUCCCAUGAAUAAGUUUGGUUUUUGAAAGUUGCGGGUUUCCCAACAAUGAAUCCACCUAACAAAAAGUUCAUUGUUAUAAAAAAUCUCUUUCAAGGUCAUUAAAGGUUUUUGGGACAGCAAGAGUUGAUGGUGGAACCAUUUUUUUGCUCGAGUGCUUUGAAAUUUUCCUUGAUAGUGUGAGGUUGAUGUUGAUGGAAUAAUGAGUUUUAUAGGGACUUUCUUGAUGUAAAACUAUACAUUUUUAUUUUUUUUGUUAAAUGUGGUAUUUCCAUUUUUAUAUAAUUUACUACCAUUUUAAGAUAGUUGUACAUUUUAAGAUCUAUGUUUAAAUCUUAAUAUACUUUUUCCAUUUUUUAAAAUGUUUAUUUCCAUUUCUUAUAUUUUUUAUUUACGUAAUAUCUAUAUUUUAUAUUUUAAAAUAGAUAUUUAAAUCUUAAUGUACUUUUUCCAUUUUUUUUUAAAUUGUGUAUUUACUUUUAUCAUAUAUUUUAUAUUUUAAGAUAGAUGUUUAAUGCUUAAUGAACUUUUUCCAUUUUUUUAAAAAAUUGUGUAUUUACUUAUUAUUAUAUAUAUAAUUCAUAUAUUAUAUAUUUAUAUUAUUUACUUAUUAUUUAUUUUCCUGUAUAUGUAUUUCCAUUUCUUGUACUUUUUAUUUACUUAAUAUCUCUAUUUUACAUUUUAAGAUAGAUGUUUAAAUCUUAAUGUACGUUUUCCUUUUUUUUUUAAAUUGUAUAUUUCUAUUUGUUAUACUUUCUAUUUACGUAAUAUCUAUAUUUUAAAUUUUAAGAUAUAUUUUUAAAUCUUAAUGUAUUUUUCCAUUUUUUAAAUUGGGUAUUUUCUUAUAAUAUAUAUUUACUUAUUAUUUAUUUUUCUUUAUAUUGUGUAUUUCUAUUUCUUAUACUUUCUAUUUACUAAUAAUUUUAAAAUUUAAGAUAGAUUUACAUUUUAAGAUAGAUGUUUAAAUACUAAUGUACUUUUUCCAUUUUUUAAAUUGUGUAUUUCCUUUUCUUAUAUUUUCUAUUUGCGUAAUAUCCAUAUUUUAUAUUUUAAGAUAGAUGUUUAAAUCUUAAUAUACUUUUUUAUUGUUUUUAAGUUGUGUAUUUCUUUUUCUUAUACUUUUUAUUUACUUAAUAUCUAUAUUUUACAUUUUAAGAUAGAUGUUUAAUAUUUAAUGUACUCUUUCCAUUUUUUUUAAAUUGUGCAUGUACUUAUUAUUGUAUAUAUAAUUCGUAUAUUUAUAUAUUUAUAAUAUUUACUUAUUAUUUAUUUUUAUAUAUAUUGAGUAUUUCUCUUUCUUAUACUUUAUAUUUAGUUAAUAUCUAUAUUUUAUAUUUUAAGAUAGAUGUUUAAAUCUUAAUGUAUUUUUUCAUUUUUAAUGUAAAACGGCAAUGUUUAAUAGAAGAACUUGGACAAAUAGUCAAAUAUUAUAUUUAUGUUUUUUUUCUUUUUUUAUAAAAUGGUAAUGUUACAUUAUGGAGAUAAGCCGCUUUUUUUUAGUGAAAAAUGGAAAUCUUACAUAUGUUUAAUGUAGUUUUUCCAUUUUUUUAUGUUGUAUGUUUACAUAUUAUUGUUAUUUUUAAAUAUAAAAUGGUAAUCUUACAUAUGUUUAAUGUAGUAUUUCCAUUUUUUUAUGUUGUAUGUUUACAUAUUAUUUAUUCUUUUCGAAAUUAUAUAUAAUGUUUUUUUUUUUGCAAAAUAGUAAUUUUACAUUAUGGAGAUAAACCGUCUCUUUUUAGUGAAAAAUGGUAAUCUUACAUAUGUUUAAUGUAGUUUUUCUAUUUUUUAUGUUGUAUGCUUACAUAUUAUUAUUUUUUAAAUUAAAAAUGUAAAAUGGUAAUCUUACAUAUGUUUAAUGUAGUAUUUCCAUUUUUUAUGUUGUAUGUUUACAUAUAUUUAUUAUUUUCAAAAUUAUAUAUAAUGUUUUUUGUUUUUUUUAUAAAAUGGUAAUGUUACAUUAUGGAGAUAAGCCGUCUUUUUUUCAAGUGAAAAAUAGUAAUCUUACAUAUGUUUAAUGUAGUUUUUCAUUUUUUAAUGCUGUAUGUUUACAUAUUUUUUACAAUUUUCGAAAAUAAGUAAUAUUAAAAUGUAAAACUAUAUUUUAUGCCACGUGUCAUCUUUCGGGAGAAAUUUUUUCCGCUGAUGUGGACGCCCUAUGGAGCCUCAAAAGCUCCCUUUUAUUAGUAGAGAUUAUGGAGAUAAGCCGUCUUUUUUUCAAGUGAAAAAUAGUAAUCUUACAUAUGUUUAAUGUAGUUUUUCAUUUUUUAAUGCUGUAUGUUUACAUAUUUUUUACAAUUUUCGAAAAUAAGUAAUAUUAAAAUGUAAAACUAUAUUUUAUGCCACGUGUCAUCUUUCGGGAGAAAUUUUUUCCGCUGAUGUGGACGCCCUAUGGAGCCUCAAAAGCUCCCUUUUAUUAGUAGAGAUUACACUUAAUAGCAAUAUAUACAUUUGGUUUCAUUCAUGGCUACGUAACGUUUGUGUAACUUUUUGAAGUUAAAUAGAAACAUGUGAAAGCUCAUUCAGAUGAACAGACAUAAAACUAGUUUUGCCAGGCUUCUUCUGAUAGAGUGACGCAAAUCAGAAUGUAAAUUUGAGUUAAGAAAAGAGAUAAUAUCUAGCAUCUGCAGUUGAAUCAUCUUUCAUUCUUAAUCUUUGGUAUAAUCUUAUCAAAUUUAUUCUUUACAAUAGUUAUCCGUAGUUUAUAUAGUACGGUCCAAUCAGUUUCAAGACCUUCAAGCUGUGCUCAUUAUUAAGUUAUGAAAGUUUCUCAAAACUUCAAACGCAAUUUGAGUUAGUCACCCUCGUUCAUAGUCUGCAUCUUGAAGGAUAUUUUGCGAAAAUAAUCCACCUGAAACUCGAAAUAAACAGAGAAUAUCAAAACCAGAAAGAGUUGACAUCAAGGUUCACAUAAACGAAUCAUAAGUUUAAUUUGUAAUCCAUAGACACCUAGACGGUGAAAUUGCCUAUCCAAGAUCUGCCAAUAUACCAAUAUAAAAAUGAUGAAACCUGAUCAAUAGCAGUGGUGAAAAUCAACUCCUCAGAGCUGUCAGCAAUUUUCUUGAGCUCUUUAUUUCCUUCUUUCCCACAAUUUGGAACAUGUUUCUUUAGUGUUCCCUUUCUGCUCACGUACGGCAAUAUGUCAGAACGUUGUUACAUUUAUUUUUUGAUACGAGCCGCUUGUGCUCGCGUAACUGGUGCCGUGAUUACAGGUAAGAGUAGAGAUAACUUGAUUGCAAAGCUUCCUUUAACCCUAGUCUCUCUUGAGAAUAAGGUUAAUGCUGGAAGAUGAUCCUUUAUUGAUAAUUAGAUAUGUUUAUAUAGGGCUAUUACAAAUCAUAACCCUAAGUAAGAAAGGAAAAACUACUUAAUAUCUAAAAUAGGAAAAAUACCAAAACGUCUAUAAUGCUUUAAGGAAAAUACUAGUUUCUAGUCUUCUUUCUCUGGUACGUGAUACCAUAACGUGUAUCAUUACUCUCCUCCUCGACAAGGAGCUUGUCCUCAAGCUCUAUCUCUGGAAAUGCUUCACAUAACUUCUCUGCAUCUUCCCAUGUCGCAGUCUCCGAUUCUUCAUUCCACUUGACAAGAAUUUGUCGAACACCUCCAUGAAUGCGAGCUCGAAGAAACUUGAUUGGUGUAGCCAGUAACACUCGUCCCUGUAAAACCGGUGGUAGCAGAGGCUCUGUAUUGGGUCGGUCUCCUUUGUGCGCUUUAAGUAGUGAGAUGUGGAAAACAUCAUGAAUUUGAGACCCAGCCGGAAGACGGAGACGAUAGGAAACUGUUCCCACACGAGCUAGUACUUCAAAUGGUCCAUAAAACUUGGGAGAUAGCUUUGUGAACGCUCUCUUUGCGACGGUGAGCUGUCUGUAAGGAUGUAACUUCAACCAAACCCAGUCUCCAAUAUUGAAUUCAGCUGCGCGAUGAUGUUUAUCAUAUACAGCUUUCAUUCUGUUCUGAGCUUCCAUCAAACGUUCCCGUGCCACUGUUAAGAACUCAUCUCUUCUUUCCAACUCAACAUCAACAGCUUCAACUUUGGAACUUCCUAUAGCAUAGUCUAAAAGUCGAGGUGGUUCUCUCCCAUAAACCAUCCUAAACGGCGUAUCUUUGAGACUAGUGUGGUAGGAUGUGUUGUAGCAAUACUCAAUCCAAGGAAGCCAAGCAAGCCAUUGCCGUGGCUCAUCUCCUGUAACACACCGAAGAUACAUCUCUAACGUCCUAUUAACCACCUCCGUUUGUCCAUCAGAUUGCAGUCGAUAGGCAGUCGUGAAACACAGGUUAGUACCCAUAAGUCUGAACAAUUCACGCCAAAAAAUGCUACGAAAGACCUUGUCUCUGUCUGAUACAAUUGUUUCUGGAAUCCCAUGCAAUCUUACAAUGUCUCGGAAGAAAGCUUGAGCUACAGAAACAGCAGUAUAAGGAUGACUUAAGGCAAUGAAAUGUGCGUAUUUAGAGAAGCGAUCGACCACCACCAGAAUAACUGUUUUUCCUGAAACUUUUGGCAAUGCUUCCACAAAAUCCAUAGAGAUAUCAGCCCAUAUUUUAGUUGGAAUCGUCAGUGGUUGCAUCAAUCCUGCGGGUUGAAGUGUUUCCCAUUUAUUUUUCUGACAAACCUGACAAGUACUCACAAACUCUUGAAUACUCUUCUUCCACCCUUUCCAAUAAAAAUCCCUGCGAAUACGUUCCAUAGUCUUUUGGACACCUUCAUGGCCAAAGUUAUGAAAACCAAUCAUUACUUCUCGCACCAAUUCUGAAUUGGGAUCCAAAUAAACAACUCCUUUGCGAAAGAUAAGACCAUCCUUUGCUUCCCACAGUUCUGAUUCUUCUCCACGAAUAAUUCUAUCUCUGAGUUCUCCAAGUCUCUCGUUGGUCUUAAUCUCUUGACGGAUUCGGGACAAAAUACCGCUUGUAGAGCUGUGUAGGGCAUGAAGUUGACUAACCUCUUCUGGUCCAUUGUCAUCACGCCUAGAUAGAGCAUCAGCGACCUUAUUGGUCAUUCCAGAACGAAACUCGACUGAAAAGUCAAAACCAAGUAGUUUACUAAUCCAAUGAACUUGAGGAGAUGUCGAGAGCCGUUGUUCUAGUAGAUACUUAAGACUGUAAUGAUCUGUUCGUAUGAGAAACCGGCGGCCCCACAAAUAUGGUCUCCAAUGAAGCACUGCCUUUGACAACCCAAUUAACUCCCUCUCAUACGCUGCGAGCUUGACAUGACGAACUGCUAACGUUCUGCUAAAAAAAGCGAUAGGAUGUCCAUCUUGUUGUAGAACUGCUCCAAUACCACUCCCAGAAGCAUCACAUUCCACAACAAAUUCUUUAGUAAAAUCGGGUAGUGCCAAUACUGGAGAUUCAGAAAGAGACUUUUUCAAGGCGAGAAAAGCCUGUGUUGCAGUCUCGUUCCAACCGAAUCCCGUUUUCUUUAAGAGUUGAGUCAAUGGUGCAGCAAUGAUGCCAUAAUCUUGAAUGAAUUUACGGUAAUAUCCAGACAGGCCCAAAAAUCCCCUUAAUGCACGAACUGUAGCCGGUUGAGGCCACUCCGUGAUAGCCUCAAUUUUUUUCCGAUCAACUUGGACUCCUUCAUGAGAAAUAACAUGUCCAAGAUAGCCCACUUCCUGCUUCCCAAAGGAACACUUAACUCUUUUUAUCAGUAACUGGUGUUCCUGUAAUACUUGCAACACAUACUCAACAUGUCGCACAUGCUCUGCCCAUGUCUUGCUAUAGAUCAAAAUAUCGUCAAAAAAGACCAAGACGAAUUUUCGAAGGACUUUUGUAAACACCGCAUUCAUCAAGCUCUGAAAGGUGGAUGGGGCAUUCACAAGGCCAAACGGCAUUACCAAGAAUUCAUAAUGGCCAUGGUGUGUGCGGAAUGCCGUUUUCUCAAUGUCUUCGUCAGACAUGCGGACUUGAUGGUAGCCUGAUGUUAAAUCAAGUUUUGUAAAGAACCGAGAUCCAUGUAGCUCAUCAAGCAACUCAUCCACGACUGGAAUUGGAAACUUGUCUUUCACAGUGAUCUUAUUAAGAUCUCGAUAAUCAAUGCAGAAGCGCCAAGUAUUAUCUGCUUUCCUCACUAGUAGCACCGGUGAAGAGAAUGGAGAACUACUUGGUCGAAUCACCCCGUUGCGAAGCAUCUCAGUGCACUGUUUUUCUAUUUCAUCUUUAAGGAGGUGCGGAUAACGGUAUGGACGUACUGCCACCGGAUUUGACCCUUGAAGCAAACGAAUCCUAUGAUCGCAAUCCCGUUUUGGUGGCAGACCAACUGGUAUCGCAAACACCGAACGGUAUUUCUCUAGAACCAUAUCUAGCAAGUCCGACGUGGGCACCGGGUUGAGAGUACAAAUCCUCUGCUUUGGCGCCUGUGGUAUGCGUUGUAUACUAGUUCCUGGAGUCGUAAACACUUCUUCUUCCUCGGAGAACCAGUGUUCCAAUCCCUUCGAGUCAGCACCUAAAGCAUGAAGAGAUAUAUUUGUCUUGCCACGUUCUUCCGCUUCUCCGUGCCAUAUAACUGGGGUGGAGCCAUGAUUGAACUCGACAGUUUUAUUUGGUCCAUCCCAUAUCACUCUUCCUAAUGCAUUCAACCAUCUGAUUCCAAGAACCACAUCGAAACCUUUCAAAGGAAUUGCAAAGCAGUCAGUUUUGAAUUGGUGCCCUUGUACCGUCAUUGACAUGUUUUGACAAAAUCCUUCUAUUGAACAUCGCCCUCCGUUGGGAAGAGCUACGAACCGGCCAGGUUUCCGAUGCAUCGGGAUGCCCAACUUCUCUACCAAACUGCUCUUGAUAAAGUUGUGAGUGCUCCCUGUAUCAAGUAAUACCCAACCUUUUCCUGUCAUGAUAUUAGCUUGUACUUGAAAGGUUCGCUCGUUUUGUUCCCCAUUCAUGGCGUUUAUGGAGAUUUCUAACUCGUCUUCCUCAAUCCACUCAUCGUCUUGAUUAUCUCCCUCCAUGACUGGCAUAAUAUGAAAGAGAACCGGAGUACAAACAUGGCCAGGUGUGUAUAAGUCAUCACAAUUGAAACAAAGCCCUUUCGCUCUUCGAUCCGCCAUCUCUGCUGGCGUUAGUUUUUUCCAAAAUUUCUUCUGGCCCGUUUGCUUUUGAGGUCCUGGUUUUGGAGUUUUAACUUCUGAUCCUCGAUUCUCUUGCCGAGCUGAGACACCAAGGGUCUUAGUGAUAGGCGCUAGAUGACCACCAAACGUCCUGGUGCGUUUAUCAUUGUCAAUCUUGUACUCGUUAUCUCUAGCAUACUCUAUGGCUUCAAAAAUUGUUUCAGGACGCAGAUAUUCAACUUCUUUCCGUAAGCUAUCUGUCAACCCGGCACAGAAUUGCCAUAGUUGUUGAUCACCCGAGAGUCUAGUUUGUCGGCUUAGACAUUCUUCAAACUGACUGCAGUACUCAUCCACUGUUCCCGUGUGUCUAAGAUUUGACAAUUCUCCCACUGGGUUCACUGCAUCUGCCUUUCCAAAUCGACUUUUGCAGAUCCUUUUAAACUCCCCCCAUCCAAGCCUAUGUGUUACCAAUCGUCGCAAGUUGAUGAUCCAGUGGUAUGCUUGGCCUGUUAAAACAAAAGUCGCUUGUCUAACUUUCGUAUCAUCACUGAAAAUUCUUUGGUCCACAAAGAAGUCAUCACACUUUUGUAGCCACUCCAUAGCAUCAGUUGUCCCAUCAAAUGGUGGAAACUCUAUUUUGGCUGCUUUCACACAUCUUCUGUCGAAAUUGUUGCUUCUGUCCUCACGAGUUUCGUAAUAUCCUCCUUCCAUCAACCCUUCCGAGUUUCGAUAAUCUCCAACAUUUGGAUGUGAGUCGUGUGGUGCCGCUACAAUUGGUCUUACAUUCCAGUCUCCUCCUCCAUCUGUCCUCCUAUGCCCUCGUUCUCUUCCUACAGCUCGGUUUGGCCACGGUCCCCCAGAGAACCCAUAAUUGGACUCGUUUGCCAAACCACAACUCCUCACCGGAAUGUCUUUAUCAGCUUUGGAUGGUGUAAAACUCGUACCAGCUCUGGUAUCGAAUGAUAUUGCCCCCUUGCUCCCCUUACUUCCACUUAAUAUUUCAACUUCAGAAAGAUCUUCGGGUGAGAAUUUGAUCGUCUUACCGCGAUCCCCGUUAGUAGUUUCGUGAUGCACCAUUCUCUCUUGUAGAGUUUUCAUAUUAUCAUCUAUCUUUGCAUUCAUCGAUUGCAUCAUCUCCAUCAUCUUUGCGAUCUGUUUCGAAAGCGCCUCAGUGUCCCCCAUCGAAUCGUUCGGCUCUGAUACCAAAUUGAUACGAGCCGCUUGUGCUCGCGUAACUGGUGCCGUGAUUACAGGUAAGAGUAGAGAUAACUUGAUUGCAAAGCUUCCUUUAACCCUAGUCUCUCUUGAGAAUAAGGUUAAUGCUGGAAGAUGAUCCUUUAUUGAUAAUUAGAUAUGUUUAUAUAGGGCUAUUACAAAUCAUAACCCUAAGUAAGAAAGGAAAAACUACUUAAUAUCUAAAAUAGGAAAAAUACCAAAACGUCUAUAAUGCUUUAAGGAAAAUACUAGUUUCUAGUCUUCUUUCUCUGGUACGUGAUACCAUAACGUGUAUCAUUUUUCUACAGAACUUUAGCUUUAAGCUGGCUCUGAAGCAAGCAAAGAUAACUACUAUUUCUGAGUGACAAACACACAGUGCAUAAUGAAUCCGGUGGCAGACAAGUUCUCCAGUCACUUGUGUUCACAGCAGGCUCUGCUUUGAUGGGGCCUUCUAUUGUCAUCUGAUGCCAACCUUCACAAGACGACUAACAAAUGAAUCGUGAUAAUAUUUCAAACACACUCAAAAAAUUUCAUGUUAUUAUUAUUAUUAUGUGUUCUAGUAUAUACUAGCAUAUAAAUCUAACUUACAUGAAGAGUUUUUUUUUUUUUUUUGGAAACAACAUGAAGAGAUUAAUACGUUAAAUUUACACACCAAUAAAAGCAUCUGCUACUACAUGCAUGAAGGGCUUAUACCAGGAUUCAGUGGCAGACUGUAAGAAGAAGCUGCACUUUGCAAUUUAGUAGUCUCCAUAGUCAGCAUCUUCAUGGAUAUUUUCCGAAGGUAAUCCAUCAGAAAGUAUCAAAAAUAAAAGAAUAUCAGGAAGGUUUUCUAAGCUUUAAGGUACGCCACUGCCUCACAAAAACUCUUUGUAUUACCGGGUUAGCAGCACAACCAAAAAUUCUCUCCUCGAAUCUGGAAGCAAUUCUCCUAAGCUCUUUAAUUUCUUCUGUUCCAGAAUACGGAAGCUGCUUCCUUAGUGUUUCCAUUCUGCGCAACACACAAUGAUUGGUCAAUAAGAGUGAAAAGAAGAAAGAUUCCACAUAAAGAAAGAAGAGAAAGAUAACACAAAGUAUCAACCAAAGUUACAUCUUGCCGAUGAUCUUCUCGCGUGAAUCAGAUGGCAAUUGAGCUCUCCAGUCACAUGUGUCCAUGGCAGGCUCGCCUUUUGGAAGAGAAGGUAUCAAAUUGUUAUUAUCCAUCAAGUAACCUACGGUUUACAAGCAAUGAAAAGCAGAGUUUAUAGAGUAAGUAAACUCAUCAUAAGUUCAUAACUACAUGAAAACAGAGAAGAAACACAAACAUUGACCAAGAAUUUUACAGGAAACAAACUACCACACAGCAUAUGGAUUAUCUUUACACUCAGAACUUCUCAACAGAUUUAUAUGAAUUGAGCUUUUAUACAGGAUAUGGAUGAUGAGUAUGAAAAAACUCAUUAGAAGAAUGAAUCCACCGAGGUAUUACAACUUGUUAAUAAUAAAUAUCUCAUAUGAUCAGCACCAGUUUUAAUGAUCUAUUCUCGUAGAACACUUCCACACAUUUCAUAAUUGUUAUUAAAAAAGUAGAUCAUCCAUCGACAGAAACUUCAAUAGAGAGAAUACUUCUCUCGCAUCCAAUAUCUCAUAUGAUCAGCACCAGUUUUAAUGAUCUAUUCUCGUAGAACACUUCCACACAUUUCAUAAUUGUUAUUAAAAAAGUAGAUCAUCCAUCGACAGAAACUUCAAUGGAGAGAAUACUUCUCUCGCAUCCAAUACCACAUAGCAGAAGAUGGAAAGUCGAAUUGUAAAUUUAUAACAAACAAUAAAAGAAGAAACGUACCUAUAUAAUAGAUUAAUUAUCAAAUUACAUCUCAUCUUUUGAUAGCACAAGAGAGAGAUCAAAAACUUGCUACGACGUAAGAAUUAAUAUCUAUGAAAGAAAAGAAAAAGACUCAAAAACAUUUAACUCGUCUCCACUGCCAUUAGAAUCCUUUUCCCCUUCCGCAAAGAAGACAAUGACAGGGGAGAACGAUUAUCUAUUUAUAGACUUAUCCAUAUCAUAAAUAUAGUUACAGUUAUAGCGUAGUCUUGAACGUGUGUGGCUGACAAAAGAAUAUCCAUGUUUGAUGGCUGUGCUGUGGCUGGUUAUAUAUUAGCUGGUUCCACAGGGCUGUUAUCAAGGGGUAUGUUAAGGUCAGGCAGCAAAAACGAGGAGGAAUCAUCAUUCUUUUGUGACUCAGCAGCCUGCACAUGCAUAGAUUAUAGAUACCAUCUGUUAAAGAUAUGUGUUACAUAUUUACUCAAAUAUGUGAUCAUGUUUACUAGGUUUUGUUUUAACCUGCUGGAUUUUCUUUAACGACUCGUUUCUUGCUCUUUGUUGCUUCAGCAUAUCGCGCAUACUUGCGAGUUCCUGAUUCACGCAACAAGUAAAAAAUGUUAAAGAGGUUUUGGACUAUGCACUUGACGUUCAAAGAAGAUGGGAAAAGAGUUUUUUUUACAUUUUUGAGGCUUUUCUUUUCCUUUAAGAGCAAGCUCUCUUCCUCUUUAAGUUCAGCAAGCGUCUGUGGAGAGCCACAUACAAUGAUUAAACAUAAGACAUAAUAGUACAUAACUAUGUGAUUCUACCAGAAUACGAAAAUACUUAUUUUUUGGUUUGCUUACCUUUUUCUUUCUUGAUCUCUUGAAAGGGGUUGUUGUUGUUACACUCGUUUGAGAUAUCUGCAUGAAAACCCACCAAGAAGAUCAGAUAGUGGCUUCUCACAACAUAUUAAGUCCAAGCCACAUUUUAAACUAGUUCGCAAUGACUUCAGAAAAUAAAGAGAUAAGUUAUUCACAAGCCCAUAAUCAGCAUAUACCAAUUUUGGUAUCCAUCAUUUCAAGUUAUCAAAUAGAGUGGAAGUGUAGUAAGAUACACAAAUGAUACGAUUAAAGAAGAAUCUCUGCUACAUCUAAAGGAUGAUCAUAAAAAUAAAGUGGUCGAUCAGUAACAAAGAUAUCACUCCUUAAAGGUCUAAACCAAAUCACUAAAUCUUAGACAUAUUAAAAAAAAAAACAUUAAACGAAAGGAAUCUUCUUUCUUGGUCAACUUCUUACACCAAGAAAAAAAAGCAAAUAUGAACAGAGGUGCCUCUUUUUCUCCUUACAUCGAGACACACCCAAUUCCAAAGGAAGAAUAGAAUCACGUGACUGGAGCGUGACUUUACGCGUGUCUUCCCUUGGCCACAAACCCCACACCUCUCCCUUGCCUCCCAUUGUCACGAAUUAUCCACAUAACCACAUGUCACUAUCACAUUCCUUUUCUUUCUUUUUAAUUACUUCUUAACCCAAACAAUGGUGACUUUAUGGCUUCUUCUACUUAUUUAAGUUGAUUCCAGCUUUAAACCAUAUAGAAAAAACUGCUAAAAUUUUUCAUUCAGAAAAAAGGAAACUGCUAAAUAGACGAGGCUGUCAAUAAUAAUAAUAUAAUCUCCCAAUGGGAGGAACAAGGGUAAGUGAUUUUGACCAGACCAAAGUGUUUUGGUUUGCAGUCAAAGUAUCGUGAGGGAAGUUUUUGACUUUUUUAUUCCACGUCAGCAUUAACCUAUGGGAGUUGCUAUGCGCUACGCUGCAUCUGAUUACACCACACACGCACCAAACCCAUAGCCCAGACCUAAUUCGCCACGAAAACGCCUCUCGACCCAUAAAAGAGGCAACCCCUCAUUAUAAGCAAUUUUAAAUAACGCCAGCGAUAACUACUCUAGUUGACCGAAUUAUCCCUGAGCAGGCUCUAUGACAAAGGGUAAUCUCGUCAAUCCCGACCAGCUUCAGGAACCAAGAACAAGAAGCAUCGUGACGUGAACUUGAUAACCAAAGAGGCAACUUCUAGAUGCGAUGAUCUUAUUGAAACUGACACUGGAAACGCAGAAAGCUAAAAAAAAAAAACAGAGAAUAUAUACUUCGAGUUUAGAAGAACGUGCCGCUUAGUACGGUAACUGAAGAAUAUAACGGUCAACGUAUAGUCGGAGUAUUGAAUCGAAGAGGGCCUAAGGUUGCGUGACCGGCAAAGAGACCGAUCCCGUAAGGAAAUGACGAAAAUGACCUUAAGAGAAACAUAGAAAAAUGGAAGUAGUUGCGAUAAAAAAUGAAGACCGAGAUAACGUGAAGUCGGAUAUCGCCAAAAAAAGAUAUGACUAGGCUUUAGGUAUUAUACGGUAGCUAGUGUGGCUGUCCACCGGCGUUUGCCAGUCACGCAUCCCAAAUAGAGUAACGCAAGAGUUUCAAAAACUAGAGAGAAAAAUAACAAAGGGAUAUCGAAAUAUCCAAAACGAAC